UGUAUAGAGUUGUAAACCAAGCUUUUGUUUUGUCUUCGCUUGAAGGGGCGUGUCGAUGAUCCUUCUUAUGAGAAGGCCAAGCCUGGGUUGGUUCCAGUCAGGUAUCUCGGCCUAACGUUUGGCAUUCAACUUGUUUACUUCCUCAAGGAGCUGUAGGGCAAUGGGGUCCUGAGUGGAGUCAUGUGUCACUGGAAUUUUCUUUCGUAAGUCUUCAUCGCCUCUUGGAAGUAGGAAAGUUUAAGCAAUGACGUGUGGUUUUUUCAUGGACUCGCUGUACUGACUUUUAGGGCAAGUAUGUCGGAAUACCUCAGAGUCCCCCAUACCUUCAUGUUCCUCUGGGACCAGUCAUUCCUUCCCUAGAUUGGCAGUUGGCCUGGGUCGUGGGAGGGGAUCGAGUCUUUCAGAAACCCUUGGGUCAUUGAUUUUCGAGCAUAUGUGGAGGGGAUUUUUUCGACGUUGCUUUAGGAAGUCUCGGCAGUCACGAUAAAUGGUUUUCGAUCCUUCCAACCUUUCUGCAAGGAGGUGUCUUCCUCCACUUUUUCUACUUCGGGUCGAAGCAUCUGGGUUGAAAGAAGUCUCAUGUUGAUCAAUGUUUUGAUGAUUAGCUCGCUCCUCAUCAGGGAUACCCAUGUCGAAUGGAGGUGACCCUCCGUGUUGGGGGGCACCCAGAUGAUAGUUGAUGUCCAUAGGGGUAACGAGCUUCCGUGUUUGAGUACGCUUAGUUUCGUGGAGUGUCUUAAAGAGCUUCUCAUACUGCUCCUGGAGGACCUCAUUCUUCAUUUCUAUCUUGUUGUUCUAAGCUUUUAGCUCAUCGACUUUAGCUUGAAAAGCAACCAUCUUUCCUUCAUUCUUUCGUUUCUUCGCACUAGGUGCAAGAGGGGUGUCAUUCUAUGUGCUGUGGCUUCCUUCGCUCCCCAUGUUGGAAAGGGAUGCCUGGUCAAAAUAGAGUGUACGAAUGGUGGAAACCAGCUUGGCAAAGCUGAAGAGAGUGGGAAUAAGUGUCGUUCCCACAGACAGCGCCAAAUGUUGAUACACAAAAUCAGCGAGGACUUUGGUACAACAAAAAGUGUUAAGUUUGUGACAUUCGCUAGAUUGCUCCGAUCAUUAGUGUGGAUAAGUAAGUAAAUGGAUAGGGACAGGGAAGCAAACACAAGAUGUACGUGGUUCACCCAGAUUGGCUACGUCCACGGAGUAGAGGAGUUCUCAUUAAUUGUGAAAGGUUUACACAAGUACAUAGGUUCAAGCUCUCCUUUAGUGAGUACUAGUGAAUGAUUUGGUACAAAUGACAUUAGGAAAUAUUGUGAGAGAAUGAUCUCUAUUUAUAGAAGAGAGUUUCUAGUUUCAUUCUGACUUUGACACGUGUCGUGUUGUGAUUGGCUUCUGAUGUUGACACGUAUCGCGCUAUGAUUGGCUUCUGAUGUCGACACGUGUCGCACUGUGAUUGGCCUCCUGGUUGGAGGAAAACUCUUCUGGGUCAUUGACGGUAUAAUGUUGACUGGUGCUCAGUAGUUUCGGGAUUGGUCAAGUAUGGUACAAACACAAAAUGUAUUGAUGCUAGGUGAAUAAGUCGCAACACAAAAUGAAAACGGACCAAUGCCAAAUUAAAAUGUAUCGACCAAAUUUAUUUAUUGGUACUAGAUAAAGUACGGACCCAAUUUAUUUACCCAUUCUAUACAUGCCACUUCAAGUAAUGCUUAGAAAGUACAUGCCUACUAACACACAAUUAACUUUAUAAAUUAAAUAUGAAAAUAAAUGUACCAAUCAACAAUAUUAAUAAAAUCGCUUUGAAAAAAAUGUAUAAAGUUAAAUUGAAUAUAGAAAUAAACGUACCAAUCAACAAUAUGAGUAAAAUUGCUUUAAAAAAAUAAUAUAUAUAUAUAUAUAUAUAAUCAAACGAUUGUGGUGGCACUAGUGGCGGUUGUGGUGGCAGUUGUGACGAUUGUGGUGGCGGUGCAGUGGUGGUGGUGGUGGCAGUGGCGGUGAUGUAAGGUUAGUGUUUAUAGUGGUAAGUGGUGGCAAUCAUUUUAUUCUCCAAGGAUUAAAUGUGUGUAGAAGGAUAAAAUAUGUUAUUUUAAAAAACUAAUGAAGGUAUUACAAGAAUUGAAAAUUUUCAUUAAAUGCUCAAUUCCUUUUAAAAACAACCUAUAUGCUUCUUUUAAAAAUUGUUGUAUGGAGACUAUUGUUUUUAAAAUAAACAGAAUAUUUUAUUUUUACCAAACACUUUUUACUGCUUAACUAUAAAUGAAACAAAUUUCGAUAAAAAAAAAACAACACCAAACGAAGCAUAAAACCUAUUAACAAGAAGUGGAGGAGUCUAAUUUCCUCAUGUCUUAAUUAGCAUCUUAACACUAAUUAGCUCGCAAAUAUUUGACUAAUAUACAUAACAAUAAUCAAUCUAACCGAUAAAGAAGCCAUGAAGCCACUCUUCAAUGUUGACCUUCUCAUCCACGUCAAAUUCUCGAUGUUAACAAUAGGCCUUAGUUCAACAAUGAGCAUAUAUUAUUCCGUUAUACUUUCAAAACCAAUAUGAACUCAAACAUUCGGCUAAAAUACACCUCAUAUUCGAACAAUAUAUUUUGUUAAUUGUGAAAGGUGAUUUGGAAGAUAAUUGUGAUACUUGAUGCCAUGCGCGCUCUCGAUUUCUAACUACUCAUGCCGCCAUUGUCAUUGGGUAUGACCGGUGACAACUUGGUGGAAACGUAGCAAUUCGACACGAUUAUUCUCCAAACAUAUGAUUGUUGAGAGCCUGAAUCCUAUGUAAGGGUGGGCAACGGUUAUGCCAGACGGGUAACCGCGGUUAUUUACUUAUAACUGUUUAUGCUCAUACUCGCAUAACCGUUUACCCAUUUGGUAAUUGCCUAAAUUGUUAUACUCAUACCUAUAACCGUUUAUAAACGGUUAACCAUACCAAUAAUCGCAUACCCAUUUAACCGUAACCGUUUAAUACCCGUUUACUCAUUUUUAACUUGUUUAUCUUUUUCCCAUUUUUAACUUGUUUAUCUUUUUUUUUUACCAUUACCCAUUUUUCACCCAUCUACAUGUUUUUUAACAAAUUGAAAUUUUAAAAAAAAUUUGUCAUAAUUUUUUUUGACAAUUAAACACCGUUAUAGGGGUACAUUCAUUAUACAUUUCCUUAUUUUAAUUUUUUAAGUCCUUAUACCGUUUCAAUAAUUGAAAUAAUAGUUUACAGACGAUAUUUUUAAGGGGUGUGAUAUCCACACACCCCAUUUUACUUCUCACACACCUUUUUAAUUUUCGACCGUCGGAUCAGAUGAAUUGAAGAAGAUCAACGGACAAUAAUUAUUAAAGGUGUGUGAGAAGUAAAAUAUGGUGUGUGGAUAGCACACCCCUAUUUUUAACUGUUACCAAUGAAGGUAAUAUAAUAUUUGCUAAGUAUUCUUGGGUUAUGAAAACUGUUUAGAAGACAGUAUUUUUGAGUUAUUUAACCCAUAGUGCAAAGUAUUAACAUAAUAUAUAUAAUGAGCUACAUUAUUUUAUAAUUAGCUAUAUAAACCAUGCACUAUAGUCAAUAGCAUCAGAGGUGCAAUUUGGGCUGAGCCAACCCGAACCCGCCCAUGUCUAACCUGACUUUAAACUCGAAUAAGCGAAUUUUGUUGUUGUUAUAACCCGCCUGAACCCAACCCGAUUUCAACCCGUUCAUUGAUUGGGUUGGAUUGGGUUGAUCAUUUGUCCAUCCCAACCCAAUCCAAUUAACCAAACCCUAUUAGGUUGAGCUGUGCAACAUACUUCUCAAUAACCUUUGCACCUUUGCACCUUUGCACCUUUGCACCUUUGCACUUUCAUGAGAACCUACUGAUAUGAUAUACAAUUUGACUUGAAAGGAAUCAUAUUAAGUUUAUUUUGCUUUUCACAUCACAUCCUGUAGAACAACUUCCUUUAUUAAAUUAAUAUUGCAACUAUUCGACCUCUCUUUGAGAUCUGCUUCACAGUUUGAGUUGUGAUUGUUUCUUAUGCUGAUUCAGACGAAGUAGGCUAUUGAGCAAGUAAAUUUGAGGGAAAGUGAUUUUAAGGUCAGUUGUUUGCUAAUACAAAUAGGUUGACAUCAUUGUUGAAAAACAUUAAACACUACUUGAAAAAGUUAGGCAACCCAAACUCAACCCAAGUAAAUCCAAACCCGAUUAAACCCGAGCCCGACUAAACCCGAUUAAAACCCAAUCCGAACCCGAACCCGAAUUGUAAAAGUUGGGUUAGGAUUUGGUUGAUUUUCCAACUCGCCCGAGUUGCACCCCUAAAUAGCAUUGAUCUAAGUUUUGUCCUAUAGAGAACAUGGUUUGUGUUAAUUUUACAUAUAUAAAAUAAAUGGGUAAACGGUUACCUGUUUAUAACCGUUAUUUAUACCUAUAACCGUUUAUUUAUCUAAAUAGUUACCUAUAACCAUAACCGUAAAGUUUAAAUAAGUGGGUAACUGCGAUUACAAGGUAUUUUACCCAUAUUCCCAUGUCAGAAAGUAAAGCAUUGCCGUAUAAUUUAAAUUAUCUUAGAUCAGUUGAUUUUAGACCGAAUGUUCACAUUCUAAAAUUUCUAAUAACGUCUGCGUUGGUUGUGAUAUGAGUUCUGCACCUCCGAUAUUGUAAAGCAUUAAAUAAAGGCCCAAUUACAAAUUCAUAAUUUUGGCCCAUGGUUUUUGGGCCCAGAGUAAGGUUGCGUAAUUUCCAGGGUCAAGUUUUAAAUUUGAUGCUUAAAUAGCAAGCCCAACCUUUUGCAAUCUCUUACAUGGGCAUUUUCCAGUCUUUACUUUUCAUUUUCAUUUUUACUUUGGAAUUCUAAUCCUGUAUAACAGUACAUGUGGAAAAUCUAUAUCUUUUUUUCUUUUUCUGCAUAUUCCUGUUUAGUUUUGUUAUUUGAUUUUCUAAUACUUUAUUUCAUUCAAAGGUUAGAAAUGAGCAAGAUUUGUGUGUGGGAGAAAAAAGUGUGUGCGACAAUCAUUUCUCAUUUCAUUUUUUAUCGAGGAGAUAAGAGAUUCAAACUUAAAAUCUCUUCUAACAUUGAGAAGUAUCACUAUUGUACUAACGACUAGUUGGUAAUCUUGCACAUGUGUUCAAAACCAAAAAAUUUCUAUUUUGUAUAAUGAGAUGCAAAAUUUAGAUUGCAACGAAGUUCUUCUUUUUAUGCAUGUGAGAGUGAAAUUGCAAUAAAUCGAACAACUUCAAUUACAUAUAUAAGAGUUUCUUUUCUUGUUUGUUAGAAAAUUUUGUGCAGAACGGUUUCAUAUUACAUAUGUAUCUUUUUACUUUUUAUCACGUAUCUUGUCAGGUGACUUCGCAAUGAGAGAUAGAAACACGUCAAGAUACAACGAUUGUUCCAAGAAAGUUUUCUAGUGGUAUGAGAAAGUUAACGAAAAGGGUUGGGACUUGGGAGGCGUUACGUCGUUAUCUGUAACGGUCUUAACAUGGAGCCAAGAUGGGAUGGUAGGGUUUUCGUGUGCAUGAAGGAUGCAGAUGACCUGAUCUGCCUUUCCCUUUGUGCUUGUGACCUCCUGCAAUUUCCAUAUCGACAAAACUUUUGCCCCUUGAUGGAAAUAUCCAACUUUGUGGGGGCCACCAGUCCAAUCCAUGCAUGGAUCCGGCCCGUUCAAUUUUCAUCGCCAGAAUUCAGUUGAUCACCUUGAUAUCAUGACCUAAUUCAAUCAUCAUUUGGAAGACUUUUUUGUCAAAUAAAACGAAAUAAUUGAUUAAUAUGAUUACAAGAUUAAUUCUUCAUUUUCAACAAUAUUGUAGGAUUUAUUUACUAGAGUGAUAGAAGAUUUGAACUUGAAUCCAGACCGCUUUAAAAACUCGUAAAAAAAUAGUAUCAAUGACCAUUUCCUCCUGUUUUGGAGGCAAAUUUGGUCCACUGUUUUUGUGCAUGAAUAAUGGUUGCCUUUAGUAUUAUUUGCUACUUUUUCUUCAGUAAAACAAUAAUACUGUCACUUUCUAUGAUGCCCAUUUCACACUAGCAUGCCCUGGAAGAACUAAAUAUCUUUUGUCAACAAAAAUCUUCCAUAGGUUGUUCCAAUCCAAGCUAGCCUUGGGUUGUCAUGAUGAUUUUGGUUUUAAUACAAAGUAAAUGGUAUAUAUCAACCGACCAACUGUAUAAGUUACUGUCAGUCGUUAAUAUAUGAACGUUGGUUCAUAUAAAUCUCAUAGGUUCCAUUUGGUGUACGAAAUGAAAGGUUGUGAGUAACAGUUAUAUCCUUAAAGAAAAUAUUGACAAAUUAUGUAAUGUACCCAUCCUGCAGUCCUCAUGUUGGCCAUAACCCUACCCAUGUGCAAAUACAAGUGAACAUAUAUCUCUUUUAAUGUAAUCAAAAUUAAAUUGAAACUUAAAACUUAAAUAAGAUUAGGGUUUUGAAUAUUCUAACGUGCAUGGGUUUGGUGACAUAGCAGGUUUAUUCGGUCCCUCGUACACUAGCAAAAGAGCUUGAAAUUAAUUAAUAUAAUUUUAAUUAAAUUAAAUAAUAAUGAUUAAGCUGAGUAAGAAGGAAGAAAGAUCUCCUAAUUAAUCAUCUCCCAAUUGGAUGCAUGACAGUAGCAUUUGGCCCACGUUCCGGAGUAGGCUCCAUCCUCCAUAACAUGCACAUGAGCUGCCAACCAUUUGGUCUCUCUGGGACCGCAUCAUAUUCAUCUGCAGUUAUUUGGAUUCUCAUACGAUCGACACAGAGAGAGAGAGAGAGAGAGAGAGAGAGAGAGAGAGAGAGAGAGGUUUGCAUUGUGAUGAGUGUGAACCCAUGAGACGUUGCAUAGUAUUAUCUUCUGCUACUAUCCCUCCCCAUUGGUUCUGCAAACCCAACACCAACCAAGAUAAGCGUUAGGCUAGUCGGUCGCCUUACCGCUUCUGGUGACGGUAUACUGUUGAUGUAUGUAUAAAUAAUGAACGACUGAGUUUAGUAUUCAUCUAUCUCUUUUGAAAUACCAAACGUACAAUAUGUGACAUUUGUGUAACAAAAGCCGUCUCCUUAUUCUUAUACUUCCAACACCUAGAGUAGUACGUAGCAGUGGUAGUCUUAUCGCACUUACUGACCUUUUUGUUUCAAUUGAUUCUCUCGAUUGAUAAGUGGCCGGUGUUUGGUCCUAAAUAGAAAUUAGGUUAAAUUAUAAACAUAAUCUUUUUCACAAAUGUAUGUUUUACAAUAAGGUAGAAUAAUUAUGUUGACAAAAUUGAAGGUUUCAAUGUACGAUAGAUUAAUUGGAAUGUAGAUGAUUCUCAGUUGUUGAGGCAUUCACUUUAUUUGGUGCGGAUGUAUAAUUGAUGGACAGUCGUUCAUGCACGUGUGUUUGUAUGAAGAUAUGUAAAGCAACCCUCUAGAUAUGAAUAGACAUAAGGUCUUUGUAAGUUGGGCUACUACUAUAUAGCGAAUUAAUUUUAUGUUGAAACCUCAGCUUUAUUCAUGAUAUCAAAGUAGGGUGUUUCAUGUGUGAAGCCCAACGGCUACACGUGCUUCACAUCACUCAUUUUAUUUUGUCCAUGUGCUAAGCUUAAAAAUUCGUCACGUGAUGAGACGUGUUGGAGUAUUAAUCCUACAUCGAAAAGAAGGAAACUUGCAUUGACAAAUAAGAUACGCUAAUACCCAUAUUAUCAAUUAAUUUUAUAAAUUUUAUAGUAAAACCCAAACAUUUUUCAUAAUUUUCUUUGGAGUUAACUAAAGCCAGAAGUUUGUGGUGUUGUUAACUCACUACCUAGGAGUGGACAUUUUAACCGGUAAAUCGGGUCGAGAAAACCAAAAGAAUCGGGUUUGACAUUGUCACAUUCUUGUUGCAUUUUUUCCCAAAUACCGAAUGUAAUGUGCCAUUCUUGUUACGGACAAGGAUUGUCUGCCCUCCUAGUUGUGGUGCCCUUCUAUGCCCUCCUAUUUUGUGCGGUCACGGUUAAGCCACGUCAACAUUUUAUAUUAAUUUUUUAAUGAGAUAAUAAGACAAAAAACAAUAAAAAUAUAAAAUAUUAACGUGGCUUAACCGUGACCGCACAAAAUAGGAGGGCAUGGAAGGGCACCACAACUAGGAGGGCACCUUGUCCUUCUUGUUACAAAAGCCUCUUUAUUCUUAUCCAAUAGAAGUAGUACGUAGUCUUAUCUCACCUAAUGGUCUUUUCUGUCAAUUGAUUCUCUCAGUUUAUAUAUAAGCUUUGUUUGUUUCAAAAUACAAAUUAGCUAAAUCAUAAACGUAAUGUGUUUCUGUUUGGAUCUUACUGUACACCAUUGAUCUGUUUAAUUGAGGCUGUUGAAUUUUAAUAUUUUUCUUAAAUAUUACUAUUGCUGAUUCGAAUUCAAUAGAGAAAACCAGGCAUUAUCCAUUGCUGGUUGUUUGUUGGAGAUCCAUUUGUUGAUAAAGACUUACUCAAGUGAUGGCAAGGAUUUUCCAACUUGGCUUGAGUAAAGAAAAGAUAAAAGAAGGUACCAUCCAUUUGUGAUAUUAUCCCUUUGGCCAAUUUGAUAAUUUAUUCUUUUUGGCCAAUUUGAUAGUAUUUCCUAAUAGAAUGCUCAGUGUUCAUUAAGAUAAAGAUGGCCAUCAAAAGGCCUUUGGUAGCCACGGUAUGGACUUUACAACACGUUCAAGCGUAUUAGUCCUAUAAAUACAUAAAACCGUGUAAUGAGAAGGCAACCUUCAACUUAACAUACAAAUAUGCCUUGCACAAAUCUCGCUCUAGGCGAACACUUCUCACACUCAGAGAACUAACUAACUCACAUUUUGAGAAAUCACUAACUCUCCACUUUCCUAACUACUUAAAGCUCGAUUGAUUAUCUAUCCAAGUCUCAGCUGACGAGGAGUCCUUGAUUCUUUAAUUGAACGAGGUCACUUUACUAGCUUUCCAACCAAAUUAAGUGUUUUAUGCUUGGUUACUUCUGGUACAUUUUAGAGUUCGGUAUUCUGACGGUUGAACAACAUUUACCAUCAAGACAUUUAUCUCUUUCGAGUACGAGUAUCCUUACAGUUUAACUCCGAACUGAUCAGAGCACUUAUAUUUUCACAAAUAUAGUCGAGGCGGCCGAACCUGGUGCAAAAGAUCAUGAACUUCACAGUGACUAACAACCUUUUUGACAUCACCACCACAUUCAUUCUACUAACCGACCGAGUUCGAUGGCAAGUUAGCACGACCGCAUUCAUCAUAAUGACGUAGUUAGCUUUUUGUUAUUCAGUCUACGUGUAAGUAAACUUGAUAGUUUUUAAGGUCAACAAUUUCACAAAUUGUGCUUUACAUUCUAACAAGUUUUACGAUCUCAACUUAUACUAGACGAAGGCGGACGAUCGAUUGUUAGUUGUUGCUGCGAGUUUCAUUGUGAUUGCGGAUGUAUAAUUGACAUACAAUCGUAACGUGUGUUUGUGGGCAAAGCAACUCUCUAGACAUCAAAAGAUAAGGUCUUUAGUUUUAUUCAGAAUUUGAGGUGUCUAUAUAAGUCACAAAAACCAAGAAACCUCUCGAACUCGUACCUUGGAUGCAGUGGAUGGGUUCCUAUCACAUGGUUGUCGCCAAAGGCAACAGAAGAGUACUCGCUAUAAUACUAAAUUAACAUGGUCCACUAGACGGUGGCUUUCCACCCUUUUUGUCGAUCGUGAGAGUAUGAUUUGGCCAAAUGCACUGUUAUUCUCCCAAAGUCGAGGUCAAUUUAGUAAACUAAUAUAUAGAAGUUUUUAAAAGUCACUAGUCUAGUAGCGGGUAGAGGCCUGUCGCUUAGGGGGGCCUAGGUAAUUUUUUAUUUUUAAUUAAUUUUUUAUAUAAUAUAUAGAUAAAUAUCUACUUAUAUUUUUUUUAAAAUAUAACUGUAUUGAGAUACAUUAAUUAGAAAAUGGAACUAUAUAUAAAUUAUAAAGUAUUAGAAUUGAAAACAUGGGGAAUAAACAUAUAAUGAGUGUUCAUCUCAAUAUUUAACAAGUUUUUUACAAUUUAUUGAAAAAAUAAAAUGUAAAAUGAAAGUUAUCUAUUUUCUAUCUAAAUGAGAGUUACGAUCUAGACGAGCGCCUACGCAGAUCUAGACGCUCUUUCUUAGUUUUCAAACGUCUAGUGAUCAAUCAAAGCGAUGACUACCUGCUUAGCGCCUAGGCAGGCUUAAGCGAAGCUAGGCGGUAAUUUUUAAAAGAAUGUGAUAUAUAGUUAGUAAUGAUAGCUACAAGGAAGAAAGAAACAACCCCACUGUACGAAACCAAAAACACUAAGCUACGAUGUGUUCUUAUCAUCUUAAGUUGUCCUACGAAUAAGUUAUGAAACCUAAUAUUAUGUUGUUGACCUAACCAAGUAGCUAGUAGCUAGUAUCGUUCACAUCAUCACUCCUAAAGUAACUUGAGGUAAAUUAGUUGCAAGAUAGCUAGAAUACAGAUCCGUCAAGGGACAUUUUUGUAAGACACAUUUUUAUUGAAAGCGCUACAAAUUUUUAUCGAAAAUUCAAGUACAUCUUGUUGGAGCAUAACGUGGUAUUGUUUGCAUACAUCAUGUAAAACUUUUACAUGUUAGGAUUUAACAAAGCAAGUAUUUUACGUUUUCAUCUCUCACACUUCAUUGUGAUCGAAACUCAAAAGAAAGAUGAUAAUAAGGUCAACUAGUACCCUAAUGAAUAUGAUUUUUAAUUUUCCGUGUAUUGCAUUACGGUUAAAAUGCAAGAUUUUUCCAAUAUUAAACUAUCAUAAGUAGUGUGUGAUGUCAGAGAUAUUACGAGACGAAGAACUUGCUGGUUCUAGUAUGAAAAUUGUUUUUGAAAUUUUGAUUUAAAAUGAUUCAGUCUUCAUAGGUGUCGGCGGGUUGGAUUGGUUUUUAGCUUAAAAGACCAUUUCUGUCCAUUAAUGUUGGUAGUCAGUUGAAUCAAUUAUUUUUUCUACGUGUUUAAUCUUAAACAAAAUUAAAAAAACGGUUUGUUUGGGGAAGGCUGUUAUUUAUUUUUAUUAAUUUUGAAAAAGUCGCGGUAAAAUCCCGGACAACUGUCAGCAGCUGGAGUCACUGUCAGUCGCGCUUGCACGCCGCCGUAGCUUAUUAAACUCCGGUCACUCACUUCCGCUCGUCUUCCGCCGGAAACGCCCUUUUUUUUUUGCUCGAUCAAUAAAAAUUAAAGUUAAAAAAAAAAGAAAAGAAGAAGAACGUUUCUGAAUUACCAAUCAGCUCUUCAACUUCCAUUGGCCACAGCAGUACAGAGCACUGUGUCUCUCUACUUUCUCUCUCUACACACUCUCUCGUAUACUUUCUCUCUCUAUACAGAGAGAAACACAGCACGAGAGCUCUCUGUUGGUAUUUUUUACGGACGUACACGCGGUUGUGUAGGCGUAGAUUCCUUUGCCCCCACUGCGUCAUAUAAUUUUAUCAAUAAAUAAAUGCCAAAAAGCUCUCUCUCUCCCCGCUGAAACCGCAUUUAUACACAGAGAGAGGGCCUAUUCCUAACGUUUUCCUCAUUUUUAUGUGCUGCUUUGGUUUGCCUAUAUUCACUCCUCCUCCGGGGAUCUCAGCCGUCCUCCGCCGCUCUUGCGAGAAUUCACCGGCUCAGCUGUCACCGGCAAGUUUCUCUCUUUGCUUUGGUAUUUAUUUCUGCUGAAAUUUUAAGCUGUUUUUUGUUUGUAAAGUUGGAAACUUUGCUGUGAUGGAAUUGAUGGGUUUUGAGUAUGUUGAUUUUGUGCGGAUUUUGAGGGCAUAAGUGGGUAAUUUGUGGAUUUUGGGCAGAUGGGCAGAUGGGCAGCUGUUGUUUUAGCCCAGUGCAUACGUGGUCUACAGUGUACUGCUUUUGGAUUUCUGGGGAACCUAUAGAGAAUAAUUGCCAGAAAGAUAUGGUCUUGUAGUGUAAACUUAUUGAUUUCUGGGUGAAAUCGAAGGUUUCAUAUCUGGGUUUGUUUUAAUUCGUUGAAUUGGGGAUUUAUAUCUCGUGGAAUUGGACUAUUGGCGUUAUAAAAUUCUGGAGUUUUUGUGGAAUUUGGAUUUAUGGAGGCUUUUGGAGGCAGAGCUCGGAAUUUCUAUGGUACGAUGGUGCCGGAUUUGAAGGGGGCUGGGAAAAAGAGUUUGGAAUGGGAUUUGAAUGAUUGGAAAUGGGAUGGUGAUCUUUUUACCGCUAGUCCUUUGAAUGCUGUACCAUCUGAUUGUAGGAGCAGGCAGUUGUUUCCGCUUGGGCUGCCGGAAACUCCCUCCACUGCUGGUUUGUCCAACAGUUCUUCUUCUGGUUCGGACGGUAUCUGUCCAGGGAAUGAGAAAGGUAAAAGAGAGCUGGAGAAAAGAAGAAGGGCUAGUUUUGUAGAAAAUGAAGGGCUAACUGAUGAAGUUGGGUCUCUUAAUCUCAAGCUUGGCGGGCAAGCUUACCCAAUCAUGGAAGGAGAGGUACAACAUGGGAAGAAGACGAAGAUAGUUGGGACUACUUUAAACCGAGCAGUUUGUCAGGUGGAGGACUGUAAGGCUGAUCUUAGCAAUGCCAAGGAUUACCACCGACGACAUAAGGUCUGUGAUAUGCAUUCUAAGGCAACUAAAGCGGUGGUGGGAAAUGUUUUGCAGCGGUUCUGUCAGCAGUGUAGCAGGUUAGUUCAAUUCUAUGGUUGUCCUUGUAUGGUGAGAAAUAUUUCAAAUUUUCUUCAGUUAAGUUCUACGUCGUUUAUUCGGUGCUUUCUUAUAGACAUUGUUUCUAGAAGAUGAAAUACAGAGUUUGAUUUGUAAGUUUUAAAAAAAUUAUUUGUUGCUCUCAUGAUUUGGGUCCAUAGUUGUUCAUCACUGUGUUUGGUAUAGUCGAAUUUUGAAGAACUUUUUUGUUGAAUUUGGAAUGUGGUUAUACUUAUGGGCAGGUUUCAUGGCCUUCAAGAGUUUGAUGAAGGAAAGAGAAGUUGUCGUAGACGUUUGGCAGGCCACAAUAGGAGGAGAAGAAAAACACAUCCUGAUACUGUAGUUAAUGGAGGCUCAUUGAAUGAUGAAAGAGGAAGCAGUUAUCUAUUGAUUAGUUUGCUGAGAAUACUCUCCAACAUGCACUGUAAAUCUUUGUGUUAUUGCACAUUCAAUUUUUGGCUGCUUUGCCUGACAUUAAAUUGAUAUGCUAAGUGUAUGUUAAGUGGUUACCGGAUUGUGUGUUGAUUGCCAUAGACUGAUGUCAAAGUUCUUGUGGUCUUUUGCUCUUAGGUUUUGUCAUUAUUUGAUUGAGGCUUGUAGCAAAAUGAUUAUGUCAAUUAACAUUUAAUAACUCCACUCAUAAAUUUUUAUUUGUAAACAUACAACAUAUUACUUGAUGAGUCCUUAACUGCUUAAGGUGCUCUAUUUUUGUGUAUAAAUGACAAAGUGCUAGUUUCUCUGAAUUUAAUUUGAUGAAAAUUUGAAUAUUGAUGCUUACGCAUGAAAAGUUUUCAGUUUUUCAGAGGUUGAUUUGAUAGAAAGUUAGAAUUUUGUGCAGACCUUCAUGUCGAAAAAUAUUUCAAUUUUUAUAAUCCAGAUUACACCUUGUGUGCUUGAAUUUCAUCCCUUGAACCCUUGUUUUUUGCACUUUCUUUCUCUGAUUGUUGGACUGUCCAUAUUUCACAUUCUAGGAUGCAUGAAGGAAGGGCCUAUUAAAGGGAAUUCUAAUUAGGAAUUGUUAUUUAGGAAAUUAUGUCUCAGUGAUCAUGUUAUUAUAAUAUUUAUUUGAUUAUGUUUGUGUUUGUUUUUCUUCUCAUAAGUGUCUUACUCAACUCCACUUUUGAUGCCUAAAAUGCAGCUAAUAGUUCAGAUCAAACAAAGGAUCAGGAUUUGCUAUCUCAUCUUUUGAAGAAUCUAGCCAAUCUUUCUGGUACAGUUGAUGGAAGAAACAUGUCUGCAUUGCUUACGGCAUCUCAAGGUUUAAUAAAUGGCGGGGCAUCAAUUCAGACUGCACAAAAGGUCCCAGAUACAGUUUCCAACGGCUGUGAACCAAGUAAGCCUUCUGUUUCAGCCUCUAAAAUGGAUGAUUAUAUUAAUGGUGAGGACCCUUCAAGACCUAUACGACAGUGUUCUACGGUACCUGCAUCAGAUUUCAGGAGAAUAUCUUCAGUUGAUGCAGAUCAUGGAGGUCUACAAGUUGUUUCAGGUCUAAAUGCCACGAAGCCAUUUCCUUCAAGAGACAGUGUUCCAUCCACAUCAGUUGCACCAGAAGCUACAAUGGGGAGGAUGCAGUUAAAUGGCAUUGAUUUAAAUAAUACAUAUGACGAUUCCCAGGACUAUUUGGACAACCUAGGGAAUUCGCAUGCCCCUGUAAAUUCAGGGACAGUGGCUCAUGGUUUUCCCUUUUGGAUGCGUCAGGAUUCGCAAAAGUCUAGCCCACCUCAGACAAGUGGGACUUCAUGCUCAACUUCAUCAAGUUCUAGUGGAGAUGCUCAGGUAUAUUCUUGUUGUACUUGCAUCUCGUUCCUCGUUAUUGCUUGGUAUAUUAAUGCUUGUAUAUGCCAUAACCUGUCCUUUUCUGUUGGAUAAAAGAAUAGCUUUGUUCUCACUUUAAUUUGGCAUUUAGGUGACAAUGCUUUGCAUUCGACUUGUCCGUUUGUCUAGCCAAUUGAUUGAAAAAACAUGAAGUACUCGGCAUACCUAAUAAAUACUUCUGUUGUGACGUAAGAGUCAAGAUGGAUUCUCUUCUUUUGUAUAGUGCUUUGUAUGUAUAAAUGUGUGCGUAUGCUUCUGCUUGAUAAGGUUUAUAGAGUUGUAGUUAAACUACAGGAGGUUGCAGGCUAUAUCAGUUAGAGUUGAGUAUUUUUUAAAUAUUUUUUAUUAUGAAGGCCAGUGUGUAAAAUGUUACUGCACUGUUACGUCUCUUAACCACUCUUUUUCUGCCGUGUUUCAGAGUCGCACAGACCGUAUUGUUUUUAAACUCUUUGGAAAAGAUCCAAAUGAUCUUCCAUUUGUUCUACGAGCACAGGUAAUAUUUGGUGCCUUGAUUUAAUUCUUCACAAUGUAACUUGUGUUUCCUUGCACAUACAACAAUUUUAUGAAAUAUUUUGAAUAUCCAGAUUCUCAACUGGUUGUCCCACAGUCCUACUGACAUUGAAAGCUACAUAAGGCCGGGAUGUAUCAUUUUGACAGUUUACCUCCGUCUAGAAAAAUCCACGUGGGAGGAGGUAUGUUUCUGUGCUGAUGCCAAAAUGUUGAUUGCUGACCUUGUAUCAGGGAGAUCUCUUUUCUUGUCCUUAAUUGUUAUGUUUGCCUGCAGCUCUGCUGUAAUCUGGGAUCCAUUAUAAAACAACUUUUACAUGCUGCCAAUGAUCCUUUUUGGACAACAGGAUGGGUGUAUACUAGGGUGCAACAUUCUGUAGCAUUUACGUACAAUGGUUUGUUCUCUCUCUCUCUCUCUCUCUCUCUCUCUCUCUCUCUCUCUCUCUCUCUCUCUCUCUCUUAAUUAUUCAUUCAUAUAUUUUCUAGCUCAUUUAGUGAUUUACCAAUAGUUGUGUUAUGAAAGAAAAGACAUUUUAAAUAGUUAUGUCUGUACUGCAGGUCAAGUUGUCUUAGACACACCCUUACCUCUGAAAAGCCAUAAAAAUUGCAAGAUAUCAUGCAUCAAACCAAUUGCAGUUUCUUUAUCCGAAAGAGCUGAAUUUGUAGUAAAGGGGUUUAAUCUUUCUCGUGCCACCACAAGGUAUCCUUAUCUUUCAUUCAAGCUUCAUUAUGUAGACCACUCCAGUGUCAUAUGUUAUUUCUGAAUUAGUAACUAUCAGGAUAACUGGGAAGGAGGAAAGUACUAAGUCCUAGCUUGUGACAGGUUGCUCUGUGCUCUGGAAGGGAAGUAUCUAGUCCAAGAAACUUGUUAUGACUUGAUGGAUGGUGCUGAUACAACCUUUGCGAAUGAUCAGCUACAGUGCCUCAGAUUCUCCUGCUCUAUACCCAAUGUUACUGGCCGAGGACUCAUUGAGGUGCUGUUCCAUUCUUAAUAUAUGUUUUAUAUUUCCUUUGAAGUGUGCUUAUCAUUACUUAUUUAUUUAUUUUUAUUUCAGGUUGAAGACCAUGGUCUCAGCGGCUGCUUCUUUCCAUUUAUAGUUGCCGAGCAGGAAGUAUGUUCAGAGAUUUGUACCCUGGAGGGUGCGAUUGAGGUGGCUGAGACUGCAGAUAACAUCCAGACAGAACCUGAAAAGUUGGAAGCCAAGAACCAAGCGUUGGACUUUGUACAUGAAUUGGGUUGGCUCCUUCACAGAUGUCACACUAAAUUUAGACUUGGUCACGGGGAUCCCAACUUAGAACUAUUUUCUUUUAGACGGUUCAGGUUGCUUAUGGAGUUUUCCAUGGACCGUGAUUGGUGUGCUGUAGUGAAGAAACUCCUGGGCAUUCUGCUUGAGGGUACCGUUGACACUGGAGAACAUCCUUCUAUUGAGCUUGCGUUAUUGGAUAUGAGCCUCCUCCACGGAGCCGUGCAAAGAAAGUGCAGGCCUAUGGUGGAACUCUUGUUAAGAUUUGUCCUAGACAAAGGGUGGCAACAAGUUGACGGGGACGGCAGCAACUUCUUAUUUAAACCCGAUGCAGUUGGGCCCAUGGGAUUGACUCCUCUUCAUGUUGCAGCCAGUACUGAUGGAUGUGAGAAUAUAUUGGAUGCCUUAACUGAUGAUCCUGGAAAGGUAAUUUCUCAUUGUCUUCUUUGACAGUUUUCUUUCUAAUUGGAUGUAAAAAUCAGAACAGGUCUGCAUCAUUAUCCAUUUUUCUCCGUACGUGUUUGACCGUUUGCUCAUACAAAUGACUCAUGUCAGCUCAUUCUGUGUCUCACAUGAAUGUUGAUAUUUCAAAUCGUUGUAUUUUCAAGCAUACAAAUGUUGAUAUCUUUGCUUCUUUAGGUGGGAAUUGAAGCGUGGAAAAAUGCUCGAGACAGUACAGGAUUGACACCAAAUGAUUAUGCAUGCCUGCGAGGCCGCUACACCUAUGUCCAAAUUGUCCAGCGGAAAAUCAACAAGAAACAUGAAAGCGGGCACGUGGUGCUUGAUAUCCCUGGCGUUAUCUUAGACAGCAGCAGCAAGCAGAAACAAUUAGAUGGGCAUAAGUCCUCAAAAGUCUCCAUCUUGGAGACCGAAAGGAUCGAUAUGAAAGCAAUGCAGGCACAUUGCAAGCAAUGUGAAAUGAAACUAGCAUAUGGAAACACAAGGUCGUUUGUGUACAGGCCGGCAAUGCUGUCAAUGGUAGCCAUUGCUGCUGUCUGUGUUUGCGUGGCCUUGCUCUUCAAAAGCUCGCCUGAAGUCCUUUAUGUCUUCCAGCCCUUCAGGUGGGAACUCUUGGAGUAUGGACCGAGCUAAGGCAGUUUACGCGUCUCAAAUUUUAGUUACUCUGGCUUUAGGCCGUUUGUGUUAAUCAUAUGUAUAAACGGAUAACUCAAAUUUUAGUUACUCUGGCUUUAGGCUGUUUCUGUUGAUCAUAUGUAUAAACCGAUAACUCUAUAGGGAACAUAAUGUACCAGUUUUCGUAUCCGUUAAGAUUUCCACGAGAGGUGUUGCACUGUAUGUAUUAAUGAUAGUUCAUAUAAAGCGUGUAUAGGGAAAGAUUGACGUAAAUAGUACUAUUGACCAAUUGUUGAGGCAAUAGAUUGCUGCAUUACUUCCAAAAACACAUACAAACAUUGUAUUCGAUGAGGCGGAAGAUUCGGACUUGAAAAUUCUUUCGCUUUUAAGUCAGCUUUCUUAAACAGAAGACAAUAUUUAGUAGGGCGGCCUGACUAAUAAUUUCUUUCGCUUUUAAGUCAGCUUUCUUAAACAGAAGACAAUAUUUAGUAGGGCAGCCUGACUAAUAAGUAGGUUAGACUACUCUUGCUAAAUUUUAUGCAUUGAGAGUUGUAUUUACGUAAGACUGGAUGGUGACCAAAUACAUAGAAUCACGUUCCUUCAUGAGGGGAUAAGGCUGUCUCACAAAGGUUGGAGCUUUGUGCUUACUUAGAUACAUGAAUCUCGUUCUUUCGUGAGUCAACUUUUCAGGUUAUUCAACUCAAAUGUUAUGAAUAAAAUUGGGCCAAAAUUAGAUCAAACAGUUGUUUUUCUCCAAAUAUUUUUAAUUUGGUCAAAUGCAUGAAUCUCGUUCUUUAGUGAGAUAACUUUUCAUGUUAUUCAACUCAAACGUUAUGAAUAAAAUUGGACCAAAAUUAGAUCAAACAGUUGUUUUUCUCUAAAUAUUUUUAAUUUGGUCAAAUCCAAUCCGAGUCUAAUAUUAACUAGCAAAAAAAAAAGCAGAAAAAUGGAUUUUACAGGCUAAUAAAAUAAUAGGAAAAGGACUCCAGUCACAGAGACACGUUGACUCAUAUUUUGACAUGAAAUUGUUUUCCACUUCAACAAGUCAUAUUCAUGGUCCUUACAUAGUGUACACAAUUAUUACCUUGUUUAAUCUUUUUCAAUUAUUUUGUCGUUUUGAACCUUUUUUCUUUGGUUUAAUUGCCAAUAAUUCAAGCAUUAAAUCUUGAUCUCGAAAUGGAACAAUUUUCCGGUGUACUAAGAUCACGUUCACGUAAAAUUACUGGUUCAUUUAAAUUAUAUUACGUAGAUUUGUUAAUAUUAAGUUUAGGUUAAAUCUCACAAUAAUUAGUAAUAAUAUGACGAGAAUUAAACUUGAAAUAUAUCACUUAUAAUAAAAUAAAAUAUCAUUAGUUUAAAUAUUAAAAUGAUACACCUCGUAACUUGUAACGCUGUUAAUUUCUAAUCGAAAUCAAAAGGAGACGCGUCAUUUGAGGCCACCACCUCUCUCCUCUCACUCUCCCCACUGAAACCGAAUUUACACAGUAAGAGAACCCUUUUCCUAACCUUUUCCUAAUUUUCAUGUGCUGAUUAGCUUUGUCUCGGGGCCUAUAUUCUCUCUGCCUCAACUGCGAUCUCAGCCACUUCUUCGUCAGCUCUCAGUUCUCAGCUCAUCUCCCAACAAUUCACCAACCUGCCGGCAAGUUUCUCUCUCUUUACUCUCUCGCUCUCCUCUUUAUUUCCACAAAAAAAGAUUGGGUCUUUCAGUUCUUUCAGCUCAAGUUUCUUUCCAUGGAGUUGAAAGCAUUGACUAGGAUGUAAUUGUGGGCUUGCAAAUACGGUAUUUUGUACUGACUUGUUGAGAGAAAAACUGGGUAAUUGGUGGAUUUUGGGUUCUGGGCAGCUGUAGCCUGUAGUUUAGCUCCAUUUUUAUGCUGGUGUGCUGUUCUUGGUUUUCUGGGGUUCUUGGAAAGAACAAUUUCCAGAAAUUUCUGGGGCUGUGGUGUUAUUGACUUUUUGUUUUGGGGUGAAAUUUAUAGUUUUAUCUCUGAGCUGUAGUUGUUGUUAUUGUUCAAUUGGGUGUUUGUAUCUGGUGGAGUUUGACUAGGGGGCAUUGUAACAUCUCUGGGUUUUUUGUAUCUUGAUCUAUGGAGUCUGAAUUCGGAGGAAAGGCUUGUAAUUUUCGUGGUGUGAUGGUGCCGAAUUUGAAGGGGGUUGGGAAAAAGAGUUUGGAAUGGGAUUUGAAUGAUUUUAAAUGGGAUGGUGAUCUUUUUACUGCUAGUCCAUUAAAUUCUACACCAUCUGAUGGUAGGAGUAGGCAGUUGUUUCCGGCCAGGCCAGAAACUCCGUCGGAUGCUGGUUUGUCCAACAGUUCUUCUUCUGGUUCGGAUAAUAUCAGUCCGGGGAAUGAGAAAGAUCAAAGAGAAUUGGAGAAACGGAGAAGGGAUUUUUUUGUGGAAAACCGAGAGUUGAAUGAUGAAGCUGCGUCUCUGAAUCUUAAACUUGGCGGGCAAACUUACCCCAUUAUGGAAGAAGAAGUACAAACCGGGAAGAAAACAAAGACAAUUGGGACUACUUCAAACCGUGCAGUUUGUCAGGUGGAGGACUGUAAGGCUGAUCUUAGCAAUGCCAAGGAUUAUCACCGGAGGCAUAAGGUCUGUGCUAUGCAUUCUAAGGCAACUAAAGCGCUGGUUGGAAGUGUUAUGCAGCGGUUCUGUCAACAGUGUAGCAGGUUGGUUCCAUCCUAUUGUUAUUUAUUGUUUGGUUGAAACAUUUCCCCGAUUUUCUUGAAUUAACUUGAAAUACAGAGUUUGGUUGUGUAAAUUUUGUUGUCAUGCGUUUGUUGUGCAUGGCUGUUCAUCAAUCUUCUUACGGUAUGGUUGAGUUCUGCAGAAGGUUUUUUUUGUUGAAUUAAAUGUAACAGGGUUAACACUCGUGGACAGGUUUCAUGCUCUUCAAGAGUUUGAUGAAGGGAAGAGAAGUUGCCGUAGGCGUUUGGCUGGCCAUAAUAGGAGGAGAAGAAAAACACAUCCUGAUACUGCAGUUAAUGGAGGCUCUUUAAACAAUGAAGGCGGAAGCGGUUAUCUAUUGAUUAGCUUGCUGAGAAUACUUUCAAAUAUGCACUGUAAGUACUUGCCUUAUUCAUUGUACACUUCUGUCUUAGUGAAACAUUGUAUCUCAGAUUUAUUUGAAUCCGCAUAUUAUGCCAUUUAUAAAUUGCAGCUAGUAGUUCUGAUCAAACAAAGGAUCAGGAUGUCAUAUCUCAUUUGUUGAGGAGCUUAGCCAAUGUUGCUGGUACGGCUGAUGGAAGAAACAUAUCUACAUUGCUGCAGGGAUCUCAAGGUUUAUUUAACAGUGGGACAUCUGUCCAGACUGCACGAAGGGUUCUAGAUAUGAAUGCUGGUGUUAAUACUGAGGACCCUUUAAGGUCUAAAGGACACUGUUCGAUACUACCUGCAUCAAGAGACAGUUCUGAAUCCAAAUCAGUUACACCGGAAGCUACAAGUAGAAGGUUCCAGUUAAAUGAUUGAUUUAAAUAGUACAUAUGAUGAUUCACAGGACUAUGUAGAGAACCUAGGGAAUUCUCAUGUUCCUGCAAGUCCAGGCACUGCAUCUCUUGGUUUUCCUUCAUGGAUGCAGCGUGAUUCUCAUAAAUCAAGCCCACCUCAGACAAGUGGGAAUUCAGACUUAACUUCUACUCAGUCACCGUCAAGUUCUAGUGGAGAAGCUCAGGUAUAUCCUUGUAAUUGCAUCUAUUCCAUAAUUGCUUGGUAAUAUAAUGCUUAAAAAUGCCUUUGUCGUGGAUGAUGCUCAGCCCACUGUAAUUCGUCUUUUUUUUAAUCUUUUUUUCCAUGAGACCAGGGAUUAAUAUAUCAAUUGUCAUUAAUCAUUAUACGGCGUAUAACUUGUCUUUUGUUUGGAUAGUAGAAUACCUUUGUUCUAUCCUUGAGAGUAGUUAGGCAGUCAUGUAUUGUGUUCUGAACGUGUCUGUGUAUCUUUCCAUGGAUUGUCAAAAUAAUGGCGAGGUUAAGUGCGCUCGCUGCUUGGUUAUGGGAUAUAUGUAAGAAAUGCUUCAAUUGUGACUUAAAGUUGAGAUCAGUUAUCUCUUCCUUCAAACCAAUAUGGCAGUUUACAAGCGCAACCACACACACAAACAUACUUGUUGUGUAUACGUCUUCUUGAUGCUGUUAAUAGAAUUGAGGUUAAAGUUACCUGGUGGUUUCUGCAGUCCUAAUGGAACAUGCAUUAUUUAUGUAAAAGGCCAGUAUGUAGAAUGUAUCUGCAAUUUUACGUUUCUUGACUGCUCUUUUUCUGCCACAUAUCAGAGUCACACAGACCGAAUUAUUUUUAAACUAUUUGGAAAAGACCCUAAUGAACUUCCACUUGCUCUGCGAUCACAGGUACUAUAUUUCCUUUGAUUUUUCUAGUUUUCAAAGUACUUUUCAAAGUAUUUUGGUGUUUCAUUCCACGGACUCCAUGAUUUUUAUAAAUUAUUUGAAUAUCCAGAUCCUCGACUGGUUAUCUCACAGCCCUACCAACAUUGAAAGCUACAUAAGGCCGGGCUGUAUCAUUUUGACAAUUUACCUUCGUCUAGAAAAAUCCACGUGGGAGGAGGUAUUCUCGACUGUGGAUGGCAGAUCCUUGUAUGAGGAAGACUUUUUCUUCAAGUCCUUAAUUUUGACAAUUCACCUCUCCCAGACCCUGAUUAAAGCGGGAGCCUUGUGCACUGGGUACGACCUUUUUUUUUAUAAUUAUUUUUGCUUACAGUUCUGUUGUCAUCUGGGAUCCAGUUUGAAAACACUUCUUGAUGCUGCGGAUGAUCCUUUUUGGAGAACAGGAUGGGUGUAUACAAGGGUGCAAGAUUAUGUAGCAUUUACAUACAAUGGUUUGCCUCUCUCUCUCUCUCUCUCUCUCUCUCUCUCUCUCUCCCCCUCUCAUUUCGUGUGUGCGUACACAUUUGUGUAUUUAGGGUCUAUAGAAGAAUCUUGCUGUUUUAGUUUUCCAUUAUGCUUUAUUGAUUUUGGUCAUGCUUUGUUUUGUUAUUUCUAGUACAUAAUGAGGAUUGACCAAAAACAUUAACCUUAUAUGAGAGAAGCAUUUUGAUUAGUUAUGUCCAUCCUGCAGGUGAAGUUGUGUUAGACACACCCUUGCCUCUUAAAAGCAAUAAAAGUUGCAGGAUAUCAUGCAUCAAACCAAUUGCGAUCUCCUUAUCUGAGAGAGCUGAAUUUAUAGUAAAAGGCUUUAACCUUUCUAGUUCCACCACAAGGUUCUUUCAUCUUUCAUUCAUGCGUCAUUACUUUGUUUUCAAUAUUCCUCUCUAGUUUUAUAGGAUAACAGAAGAAAUACUAAAUUCUAGAUCUUGAGUCUUGACAGGUUACUCUGUGCUCUAGAAGGGAAGUAUCUGGCUCAAGAAACUUGUUAUGACUUGUUGGAUGAUGCGGAUAGCACUGUUGAGGAUGACGAACAACAAUGCCUUAAAUUCUCCUGCUCUAUACCAAAUGUUACUGGGCGAGGAUUCAUUGAGGUGCUGUCAUAUUCCUAAUUGUCCCUUUCCCCCUUCCUCCUCUUGUAAUGUGCAUUUUGAACGAGCCGUAUUUUAUAAGUCCGGAAUUUGUUUAUAAAUCUUCUUAUGAAUACUGAGUAUAGAUUUGUUUCUAGACAGCGCCUUAACUGAAAUCCACGGUUCUCAUUUUAUUGGUCAAAUUUAUGUCAGGUUGAAGAUCAUGGUCUCAGCAGUAGCUUCUUUCCAUUUAUAGUUGCAGAGCAGGAAGUAUGCUCUGAGAUUUGUAUGCUGGAAGAUGUGAUUGAGGUGUCCGAGACUGAUGAUGAUAUCCAAUCUGGACCUGAAAAAGUGGAAGCUAAGAACCAAGCCUUGGACUUUAUACAUGAAUUGGGUUGGCUCCUACAUAGAAGUCGCGUUAAGUUUAGACUGGGUCAAUUGGAUCCCAAUCUAGAUACAUUUCCCUUUAGACGGUUCAGAUUGCUCAUGGAGUUCUCCAUUGACCAUGAUUGGUGUGCUGUGGUGAAGAAACUCUUGGGCAUUCUGUUUGAUGGUACUGUCGACGCUGCAGAGCAUCCUUCCCUUGAGUCUGCACUACUGGAUAUGGGCCUCCUCCACAGAGCUGUGCGAAUCAAUAGCAGACGUAUGGUGGAAUUCUUGUUAAGAUUUGUCCCAGGUUUAACAGGAUCUGAGCAGAAGGAACAAGUUGACAGGGACGGCAACAGUUUCUUGUUUAAACCUGAUGUUGUUGGGCCCAUGGGGUUGACUCCUCUUCAUAUUGCCGCCAGUACUGAUGGCUGUGAGCAAGUAUUGGAUGCCUUAACUGAUGAUCCUGGAAAGGUAAUAUCUCCGUUUUUUGAAUUGCAACAUAAUAUUUUUCUUCUAAUUCUAUGUAGAAAUCACUUUGCGCUGGCUACAACCUCCAUCCCAUCUCCAUACCCAUUUGAACUCUUGCGCCUACAGUUGACCUGUGUCUGUUCUCAUACUGUUUCACACACGUGUUUUGAUGAUUUUAACUCAUUCUAAUUUCCAGCAUGUCAGGUUGCUCACGGAUUUUAGAUCUGUAAUCAUGUCUUCUUUGACUUUGAGCUCUCUCUUUAGCUUUUCCACUGUCUUCUGCCUAAACAAAAUACACUGAUUCCAGUUAUUGAGUUGUAUUUCAAAUUCUCAAUUAACCAAUCCUAGACAAAUUAUGCAGUCUUGUAUUUUCUUUGGCUUGCGAAACAUAUGAAACAUAAAUCACCGUAGAAAAGUUAAAUGCGCCAUUCAAAUUGGUAAAGAAAGCAGCACCCCACAUCUAAAUGCAUGCUAACUCUUUCACAGCUGAAAGCGGCACCCAAAUUCUACAUUCAACUUGAAAUCAAAUAGGACUGCUGUUAAAAUUUUUGACGAUAAAUGAAUUAUGAUUCUUUUCAUCGUUCUAGUUUCAACUUUCAAGCAUGUGUUUAGGACUGCUGUCAUGAAAUUUCUUUAGUGUCAGAUAAUCCAUUCAUCAAGUUGAUAUGGGCGUUUUUUUCUUUAGGUGGGAAUUAAAGCAUGGAAAAACACUCGAGACAGCACAGGAUUGACACCAUAUGAUUAUGCAUGCCUUCGAAGCCGCUACUCCUAUGUCCAUAUAGUCCAGCGGAAAAUCAGCAAUACACUGGAAAGCGGGCAUGUGGUGCUUGACAUCCCUGGCCUCACGUUAGACAGAAAUGGAAAGCAGAAGCAAUCGGAUGCGCAUAAAUCAUCAAGAGUAGCCAGCUUGGAAACUGAAAGGAAUGAUAUAAAAGCAAUCUUACGACACUGCAGGUUAUGUGAACAGAAACCAGCUUAUAGCACCACACGGUCACUUGUAUACAGGCCGGCAAUGCUGUCAUUGGUGGCUGUCGCUGCUGUCUGCGUUUGCGUGGCCUUGCUCUUUAAAAGCAAUCCGGAAGUUGUUUUCGUGUUGGAGCCAUUCCGGUGGGAACACUUGAAGUUUGGUUCAAGCUAAGGUUAUAGUUUACGUGUAUUAAUUUAUAGUGACUCUGGUUAUACAUAGACCAUUUCUUUUCACGUGGAUAGGAGUAUAUUUUCUAUCUGAUUUUUAUAUGUAUAUCUAGGGCCACUCAAGCCAACAAGACUCUUCGCAUUGCAAUGGUCGGAACGUCUAUCGUAUCUGUAUUUGUAUACCUAAGCUUCCAAAAUAAACAUGGGCUGUCAUGGAUUUUGGUCCACCAGGUUUGAUUGUAUUUGUAUUUGUAUAACAGUGUUACAAACUGGAUGACACAUAAUUUCUCUGUUUGAUAUUUCUUUUUUUUUUUUCAAAAUAAACAUUUGGCACGAGGUGAUUCGGUGUUCGAUUAUUAGUGCAUUUACUGUAUAAAUUAAAUUUUAAUUUUAGAAAAUUCAGCAUUUUUGUUGGUUAUAUUGGAGGAAAUCGAACUUUGGUCUACUCUAAUUCUAACUUAUUACCAUACCCUCCUCCAUUAUUUGAGCUCAUAUAAGCAUAAGCACACUAAACAAGGUUAAGUAUAGAAGAAUUUGGGAAUUGAGAAUUAUUGUUUGAGCAUUAUUUCAUGUUUAGUGCAAAUUGAGGUUGAAUUAUUUUCUAAUUUUAUUAGUUUAAUCAUUUGGAUGAAUUUGUUCAUGCUUCCAUAUGAAAUCAUUAUUUUAUUAAAAUAAUUUAUUAAUAGUUCGAGAAAAACUUAAAUGGAGGUGCUCACGUCAUUCAUCACGCAUUCACAUUCACAUUCGUUACACGUUUCUCAUAAAAACAUAAAACUCUUUCAAAUGAAUAGGUUUCACUGAAUUUGGAUAAUAUCCGACUUUACAUAAGUACAAGUAUCAAUGCACAUGAUUCCAACCAGUAAUUAUUAUCUUAUUUGAAUUACUUACCCCGAAUCAGACCUGAAAAAGUGUAAUUUAUUCAAAUUUUAUUUUCUGAAAUUCAAAAAAAUAAAAUAAAAUUUGAGGAUAAGAAAAUAAAGGGUAAAGAGGUCAUUUGCAUGCCCUGCCUCCUAAAAUCCACCUCACUACUCACUACCCCGUCACUGCUCUAACAAUUUUGCAGGCCAAAGCCAUCCAUGGCUUCUUCAAUCUCUCUCUCCUUCUCUUCCUCUCUCCUCCCUCAUCCUCUUCCUUUCAACAAAUACUCCACCGCCACCGCCGCCGCCUCCCAGAAAUCCCAAUACCCCAACUUUAAGCUGCUCCUCCGCGCAUUCGCCAACCCAGCUGUAAGCCGUCGCUCCACUCCAUCUCCGUCUUCCGACACCAGAAAGAGGCACUGGAAGAAAGGUGAAUACCCAGGCGUCUCGGAGACGUCGGCUCCGGCGAAUUACAGAAAAACCCCUGGUCGUUCCACUUCAUCUGAGUCUUCCGACACCAGAAAGAAGCACUGGAAGCGAGGUGAGUUCCCGGGCGUCUCGGAGACGUCGACUCCGGCGAAUCACAGAAAAACCCCUGGUCGUUCCACUUCAUCUGAGUCUUCCGACACCAGAAAGAAGCACUGGAAGCGAGGUGAGUUCCCGGGCGUCUCGGAGACGUCGACUCCGGCGACUUACAGAAAAACCUCCGCUCGUUCCGCUUCAUAUCCGUCUUCCGACAACAGAAAGAAGCACUGGAAGCAAGGGGAGUUCCCGGGGGUCUCGGAGACGUCGAUUCCGGCUAUUUAUAGAAAACCCCCUUUGAAAAAUGUGAAGAAGAAGCUGGACCGGAAGAACAAUGCCAAGGCCUGGGUCAACACCGUCACGGAGGCCCUGUCAGACGCCAUUGACAAGAAGCAGUGGCUCCAAGCUCUUGAGGUUUUUGUCUUAAUCUAAACAAAAAUUAACAAAUUUUUCAUCUUUUUUCUUAUGUGUUUUUAGUUUGGUGAAUGUAAAUUGAUGCAAAAUUUAAAAAAAUGGUAUUUUUAUGCUUACCAAUUUAGUUUCUUGAACCAUGUUCUUGAAAAAUGUGAUCUUUUUAGCUGAAUGAUUUUAGUGGAAUUAUAAUUAAUUGGGUGUUUUUGUUUGGAAAAUGUAUGAUGAAAUUGGGUACUAUUACGUUCAGGUGUUUGACAUGCUUAGGGAACAACCAUUUUAUCAACCGAAAGAAGGGACUUACAUGAAACUCAUUGGUAUGCUUGGAAGGUGCGGCCAACCCAAUCGUGCCCGCCAGCUUUUCGAUACAAUGGUUGAAGAGGGCUGUGAACCAACUCUUGACCUUUACACAGCCUUGCUCGCGGCUUAUUGCCGGAACAAUCUGAUUGACGAGGCAUUUUCUGUUCUUAACCUGAUGAAGACUCUCCCGCAAUGCCAGCCUGACGUUUUUACUUACAGUACCUUGAUAAAGGUUUGCAUUGAUCAUUUGAAGUUUGAUUUAGUUGAGUCCUUGUAUGAGGAAAUGGCUGAGCGGUUGAUAGCUCCGAAUACAGUCACCCAAAACAUAGUGUUGAGUGGAUAUGGUAAGGCCGGGAAGUAUGACCAGAUGGAAAAAGUGUUGUCCGGGAUGCUGGAGGGUACAAGUUGCAAGCCUGAUGUCUGGACAAUGAAUGUUGUCCUUAGUGUGUUUGGAAACAAGGGUCAGAUAGAUAUGAUGGAGAGAUGGUAUGAGAAAUUCCGUGAUUUUGGGAUUGAGCCGGAAACUCGCACUUUGAACAUUCUGAUUGGUGCUUACGGGAAGAAAAGGCUGUAUGAUAAGAUGUCAACUGUGAUGGAGUACAUGCGCAAGCUUCAAUUCCCAUGGACAACCGCAACUUACAACAAUGUGAUAGAGGCUUUCGCGGACGUAGGAGAUGCAAAAAACAUGGAAUACACGUUUGAACAGAUGCGUGCUGAGGGCAUGAAAGCAGACACCAAAACAUUCUGCUGCCUUAUUAAUGGGUAUGCCAAUGCAGGCCUCUUCCAUAAGGUGGUUAGCUGCGUUCAGUUGGCUGGAAAGUUUGAGAUACCUGAGAAUACCACAUUUUACAAUGCGGUGAUAGCUGCAUGUGCAAAGGCAGAGGAUUUAAUGGAGAUGGAAAGAGUUUUCAACCGGAUGAAAGAGAAGCAAUGUCAACCGGAUUCCACAACAUACUCUGUCAUGGUUGAGGCAUAUAGUAAGGAAGGUAUGAACGACAAGAUCUACUACUUGAAGCAGGAGAUUGGUACUGAUGGUAAUCAAAGUGAUCAGAUUAGUGUUGAAGAAAAUCAAAGUGAUCAGAUUAGUGCCGAAGAGAAUCAGAGUGAUCAGAUUAGUGUGGAAGACAAUCAGAGUGAUCAGAUUAGUGAUGAAGGCAAUCAAAGUGAUCAGAGUAGUUUUGAAGAUAAUCAAAGUGAUCAGGCUUUUGGAGCUGAGUCUGGCGGUGUUGUCUAGUUGAGAUCUUUGGAGGCAACAGUAUGCUCCAAAAAUCCCUAAUCUCACAGGGCAAUUCCAUUCCCCGCAGUUCUUCUAAGGCAGCAGCAAACUCUUAUUGUGAAAUUGCCGAUCGAUCAGGUAAUCAAACAUUUCCAUUCUCGGAUGGGUGUUAGCAAUGCUGCUUCCUCCAAUUUUAUGUUUCUGGUGAAGGACUGUAUGGAUUGAUCUGAUAGACUGAUAACCCGGGUGAAACUUUAUGGAAAAUGAUUGUACAUACAGAGUUGAUAAGUGUCUCUCUCCAAACUUGAUGCGAUCUCUAAACUAGCAUGCAAAAUUGUACGACGAUUUGUAAGAGUGUUUAACUGUGUUCAACAGAGGAAUUGCUUUUUGUUAUUGCCUGAAAUGUUUUGAAUGUAACUUCACGUAUAUAUUGUCUGCAGCAGCUGCUGGACAAUCAUAGAAGGUGGUCUGUAAACACGUUGUUUUUGAAAAUUAAUCGCUCUUUUCGGUACAUUUUGUGCUGCUGUUGUUCGAAUGUUUUGGCACUUGAGGCAGACAAUUGAUCUGCAAUUAUCCCAAAAUGUAAGGGUCCAGCUCAACAAAACGCAGGGGUAAUUUGAUCAAAGAUGUAAGUUUUGUUAUAUUGACUUUUGAGUAGCAUUGGUAGUGUAAUAAACAAUAUCAGUAACGUUGAAUAAUAAUAAAUUUUACUUGGAUGCCGGCGUGUGUAGUAAGAAUAUGUCCAAAGUGGUUUGGACAACGACAUGAUGGUGCGUUAACUAAUAUGAUCUUAUCACGUGAUGAGAGAUAAAGGAGAGAUGAAUGUAUUCGUGACCUGGAGGUUAUUCUACACGUAAACUUGUAAAGAUAGGCAAACAGGGUGCUUUUUGGUUGAAACGAAAUGCUGAAUUGUUUACUCUUUCUUGUGUAAGAAGAGAAGACUUGUAUCGUAAUCAGGUACUAAUUGUUGUCUUUUGGUCCCACCUUACCUCACACUAUAAAUAAUGGCAUCUAAACCCGAUUAUUCACAGAGAAGCUUUCACAAAAGCAUAAAACUCUUAUAUUUUGGUUUCACUCGCCUCAAACUAGUCUCCCUCGUUGAAAUAGCUAACCUAGUUAGGAACUGUACACAAGUUUCUCUCGUAUCGAAGAAAGUCAAAGAAGUUUUUAGCUCACAAAAGCACAUAACCCCCUAUAUAUUCCAUUUGAAUCACCAUUUACAAAAUUUGUACUAACUUUCCAGUCGAAGAUAGGAUAGUUUCGACAAGUAUUGAACGGCUAAGAUAACUUUAUUUAUUACAUGAAUGGCUAAGAUUAAAAACAAGGGCACGUAGACGAAUACAAACAUCUUCAAUGAGAGGAUCCACCAUUUCUACCAUUGGAAAUUUAAUUUCCUUACAGAAUAGGCGAAAAGUGAAGCGAAAACAAUCGGGAAAGCAAUGAGAACAAUCGCCACGAGGAAUAAACGAUCGUGAUGGAAGCCAUAGUAGUCUUGAAGGAAGGAAGCAACUGUUUUCUGCUCCCCAAAAAUCAAAAUCUCUUUGUUCAUGUCUCCAUAUUGUGAACUGAGGAGGGCAUUUAGGGACCAUGAUGUAGGACAAAUCCAAUAGAACCAAAUCCACCACUUGGGAAUUUUCUGCAUAAAAUAUAUAGAACAUGGUCCGCUAGGCUCACAGUAAACCGUCAUAUUAAGGGUUUAUUUGGCACUGCUUCUUUAGAAAGAACUUUUGCUUAUAAAUUAUAAGCGCUUUUUCUGUAAGUUGUUUAAUAGAGUUAUGUUGCAAAAAAAGCAGUUGGGAGGGCUUCGCAUACUAAAAGCUCUUAAAGUUUUACUACAUAGUCUUUUGGCUUUUCUAGAAGCAGUCUCAAACAGGGCUAAAGACUAAAGAGAGAGUUAGAUUUAGUUACCGGCCCGAGCACAAGGAAGCCGGAAAAAAGAUUCAAUAUGGUGUAGAUUGCCGUUGCGAAAAUGGAAGCUACUUGCAGGCUUGUGCUAAAAGAAGCUAUCAGCAUCCCAAGGUAUACAAAUUAGAGAAAUGUAGAGAAUGUUGCAUGGAAGUACCAGAAAACCUUAGUAGCUGACCAAUAGUACCCUAUUGUAGGGUAUGUAAUAAUGACAUACAGAAUUGCUUGAACCACUUUGUAAGUUAUUUCAAUGGCCACCUACAACAACAUUCAAAAUUUCGACAUGUUAAAAACCUUUCCACUACAAGCUACGUUAUAGUACCAGUUAAAAUGUACGAACCUGUGCAAACGAAUGAGCGUUUGAUGAGUACAUCCCAGCAAAUCUUUCCCGGUACAGAACUGCGCGCUCAGUAGCCACGUAAGGCAGAACCGUCGAGCAAUUGGUUGUGCCCAAAAAUAUUACAGCAAUGUACAGUAACCCAAGCACGUUGAACAAAUCAUGCUCAUUGUUUCUUGAGGAACAAGAAAAACACAGGAUUUAGCGUUGUUGAGCAAAAAUUGUACAUAAUAUGUAAACAAAUAAUUCUCUCGACAUAAUUUCACCCUCGUUCAUUUUUCGAAGAGGGUUUUAUUAGUUUGAGUUUGAUUCAUUCUAGGUUACGCGCCUAUUAAUUACAACCUUUCUUUUGGGAAAGGAAUACCCUUUGAUUCUAAUAUGAAUAAAUCGUAAUUUGAGGAUUUGGGUGUUUAUUUGAUUUUGUGACUGUAUCUAGGUAGAGCCCUAGAUUGCCUACGUACCCUCGUUGAGGGAUCAAAUCACUCGUAGUUCCUUAUGUGUUUUGUUGGGGUUUGACGCCUUGUGCAGUUUCAGCUCAUGCAGAUGAGGAUUUUAAGCCGUUGGAGCUUUAAUAAAUUUGAUAUGGUUUUAUGCCAUUCUGAAAUUUGAUACGGCUUCGUGCCAGUUAACAUAGCUUCGUGCCACUUGAGAUUUUGUUGCGGCUUCAUGCCAUUUGAUAUUUGACUUUUUCUUCGGCUUUACGGCUUCGUGCCAUUGAAUUGGCUUUGAGCCAUUUGAGGCAGCUUUGUCCCAUUUAAAGUGGUUUUAUGCCGCUUAAACGUUGAGUAAAAUUAACAGGUUUAUUUCUGAUAAACCCACUAAUAUUUUGGCAUUUGACUCUGGCUUGGUACCAUUUCUUACUCCAUGUUUAAUUUUACUUUUCCUUUUUCGUUUGCCCUUUCUUCUGACAAAUUUGUAGAGAAUCAUGCUUGGAAUAAAAAAAAAAUUUCCUCUGUUCCUUCAUGGGAUUUACUCCACAAGGGUUUUGUUCAAAGCAGCAGAAGUGAAUUUAGUUUAUACAAACCAGGGAUUCAUCUUGAUUUCUUGGUUGCGUCUAAAAUUUGAUAUCAGACUGCCUACGUAUCCUUAACGGAAUCAAACCGGCGUAGUUCGUAACUUUUGAGACUCAUCGCGGCUUUGUGCCAUUUGAUACUUGAUAUGGAUUCGUGCCAUUUGAAGUUUGACGGAGCCUUGUGGCAUUUGUGUCUUGUAAAUAUUUGUGAUGAACCCACUUUUACAUUGGUAUUUGACUUUGUCUUCCUUUUCAUUUAUUUUGUCUUGGAACCCAUUUUAUUUUGCCUACAAGCCCGUCACUCUAUUGUUGCCCUUUAUUUUUUUGCAUGGUAGCACAAAAAAAAUCCUUGCUUUCAUAUGGAAAAUAUAAAAGCAAGAGUCAAAGCUCCUUUAUUUUUACCAAUGCCUUUUUCAAGCUUUUAAGUCCCUUGCUUUUCUUCUUUCUUUAUUUUUCUUUUGUCAUUGCCGUAUGUCUCCCUAAGAACAACUCCACUUUUGGAGCCCUUUCUCCAUGCAAUCCACUAUUCAAUCCACCAUGUAAACAGUAAUUACCCUUAAUAAACAGUAACUACUUUUGUAUCUCAACCCUUGCACUUGAAUACCCUUGGCAAUAGGCAAUAAAAUAUUAAUUUUUAUAAUUAAUAUUAUAUUAUUUAAUUUGUACAAAUUAAUAUUAUAUUAUUAAUUUAUCUUUUCCAAUCUCUUCCCGAAACUUCUACCAUUUUUGUUUUCUUCUUCCUUCCCACUCUCUCACUCCCCUCUCCCUCAUUGUCUUCUUUUUUUUCUCCGGCCGACAGUCUACCUCCCCUCUCUCUUUUUCUCCCCCAUUUCUCCCUGUUUUCUUCCUCAAACGAGGAAGCUGCGAAUUUUGAGAGAGAGCAGCACCGAACCCACCCGCCUCCCGCCAUGUCUAAAUCCACUGAUGUGUCUUUCUUCCUCCUCAUGGUCCUCUGCGGCCAGGCCCAAAGAGGCCGCCUGCUUCUUUCCGACUUCAACCAAUCAACGUCAUCCGAUCUGAUCUCCGAUAGAGUCCACCACCACCACCGGUCCCACACCCUGGCUCCCUACCUCACUCUCGAGAACGCCCUUUCGGCGGAAGACUCCACCUGCAAGCAGACCUACGUUUUCCUGCCUUGCACCACCACUGUGAUCGACAACCUUUCCUAAUUCCUGACAGAAAAAAAUUAAAAAAAAGGACUGACGCCAGCCUGACGUCAGCCCCUACUCGGGCUGGCAAUUCCUCAUAGACCCUUUGCUCGGGCCUUGGCUGCUGCUUGGGCUUGCUCACGCUGGAGCUGGUCGACAGGGCCUUGGGCUCUUUCUUCUCCCCCCGUCCCUCGAGCAGGAGCUUCCGCUAAAGCUGCUCUAAUGGUUCGAAGAUGAUGGAAUCCAAUUUGAAAUGGCACAAGUUAAAUUUCCAUAAAGAACUCCCAUAACUUUAUUGACCCCUACGUGAGCAACUUUCCAUGUGAGGUGCUGAUUUCAGUUAGCAUUCUUCUUUGAUCUUUUCAAACCCAUUUAAACAUGGGACUUCGAACCUAUCUGACCUAAACUUCUGACCAAUCUGAGAGCAAGCCUUACUCUUUUCUUUGUUUGACUUCAAAGGUCUCCAAAUUCCAAUAAGACUUUAUCCCAUACUUUAAAUGGGGGAACCAUGACUUUCUUUUGUCUUCCACGACUUUCUUUUGUCCUCCACGUGAGUGGUUUUCUUGCUAUGAAGUAAAAGAAGACCACAUCAACAUUUUUUUAACUUUACUUUUGAUUUGACAAAAGCUUUUUGGUCUGGAACUCUUCUUCUCUCCUUAUGAGUUUUAAACAUUUUUUUUUCUUUGUCUUCAACCUUGAAUUUAGCUUUGCCCAACAUUUGACAAUAACUUACUUCAUCUUUGAGGUGCCACGUAUUUAGCCUUUUUUAAAAAAAACAAGCACUUUCUUUUGAGUUUUCUGUUUCCUGCAUGGAUUUGUCUUCACAGGGGUAAAACUAGUCUUCGACUAAAAUCACGAAUCAUCUUUUGCUUGUUGGAGAUUUUUUCUUCAAUUCCUAAUUUAAACAGGAAUUUGAAUGAAACUUGGUCAGUGGCAACUAGCGCCUAUUCUUCUUUGGCUGGGCUUUCUUUGGGUUUCUGUCUCAAUGAAGAACGCCAAAAGUUUUUGAAGAAGACCAUGGCCCGUCGACCGACAGAAGCUUCGGGACCAUAGCUGGGCAUGUUGGGUUCUUGUUCUCCACUUGUUCAAAUGUGCAGAGUGACGGCUUAUUCUCCGUUGCAUCUCUGAAAAGAGGAAGGGAGAUGUCGAAAACUUCUUUAGACACCCAAGAGGCUACAGGAGGUUGUGGGAAGACGAUUUGCUGCUGUGUUUUGAUGAAAUCUCCGUUGGACAUCACAAGUUGCAGGGUGUCGAUGAUGUUGAAGACAUGGCGCAGCUGCUGUCUCUGUUUGGGCUUCCGUCUAACGUCGGCGGUUUAUUGCAAUGUUGCCUUCAUUAGCUAUUUCACACCGCUGCCAUCUUCUUGCUCAAACCUUCGUCAAAUUUGUUGAUGGUCUGGACUGGCGUGCCCAACUACGUCACCUGGUUUCAUCACCUUCGGAUCACGAACUGCACUGCCCUUGGGCUUCUUCCGGAGGACUGACAGAGACGACGGUUGAAAAAUGGUGGUGUUGCCGUAGUGCAGUGAUCACCUAGACCUGGUUGGAACUUCACGGGGUGGUUUAGACCACCCCGAAGAAAUUCAUGGGACUGGGGAUGGGAGAGAAACAAAUUGUUUUUUUUUCUUCUUGCAAAGCCGAGAGAAAGCAUACAAAGAAAGAUUUAGAAGGAUAGAUUUAUACCUUUAAAUGCUUUGUAGCAUUUCCUGCUCUUUGUUCUUGCGGGUAGCACUUGAUAUCUUCUUCUUUUUUCUUCUUUUGUUUCUCUUUUGCCUUUGCUCUCUUGCUUUGCCUCUCAUUCUCUGUUGUCUUCAUUGCGCUUUUCUGUCUCUCAAUUUUUGCAGAGUACCCUUGUCUUUUUUUUUUUUUUUUCUCUUGCUGUAGUUGAUGCCUAUUUAUAGGCAUCCCAAGUAAAGGAUGAUACAUUCCUGAUCUCUUGGGAUUGUUUCCUGUUUCAUCAUGAUUUCCAGAUUUCCCUGUUUUAUUAAAACAUUCCCCUUAUGUAUUCUUUGUAGAUUAAUUAUACUUGUAAAUCAAGUCAUUGUACACUAUUUAAAUCAAUGAUAAUGCACCCUCUAGGGCAUCGAGGGAUUGAGCCAAAAUACCUUCUUUUGAGUUAUCUUUUAUGGUACUCAGAGCCAGUGACUAACGUCUUUUUUUUCUUUUCGGAUUCUUCCUACUCUUCUCCAUGGCUGCCUCAACCAGUUCGACUACUCCUUCCUCCGACAUCUUCCCUUCUGUUUCUCAUGCGAUCUCCAUCAAACUUGACUCUUCCAAUUAUCCUCUUUGGUUGGCUCAGUUGCUACCUGUUCUUCGCAGUCGUCAAUUGUUGGCUUUUGUUGAUGGUACUUCCAUCUGCCCCUCGGCGUUCUUGUCCGACGAUACCGGCAACGCCUCUUCCAAACCCAACCUCGCGUAUGCUGACUGGGUUCAGAAGGACCAGCUUGUUCUUUCUUGGAUCAAUGGCUCUCUUGGUCACCAGGCCCUCGCCGCCACUGCUCGUCAUUCCACUGCCCGUGAUGUUUGGGUUGCUCUUCAGCAGCGUUUUGCUUCUACAAACCAAAGUCGCAUUCUUCAGCUUCGUACUGCUUUCUUCCAGACCAAACGAGGUGAUUCUUCAAUUUCUGACUUUCUUGAUAAGAUCAAUGGUAUUGCCGAUCAAUUGGCCCUUGCCGGGGCACCUGUUUCUGCUGAUGACAUGGUGCCGGUCGUCAUGUCUAAUGUCGGCCCCAAAUUUGAGAACACUGUUGCUGCUGCUCAGGCCCGUGACAACCCCAUCUCCCUUUCUGAUCUUGAGGCUCUUCUUCUCGUUGCUGAACUCCGCCUUGCUGAUCCUCCUGCUCCGCCGGACUCCAGCGUCUCGGCCCUGGUAGCCUCCCGCGGCUCUUCUGCCUUUCAUGGCCGCUCCUCUUCUGAUCGCGGCGGCGAUCGUGGCUCUGGCCGUUUCUCACGUGGGGGUGGUCGUCCUCAACAUGAUGGGUCUCGCAACAAUGGUGGUGACGGCUAUCGUGGCUAUCGCGGUGCUGGUGGUUUCCAUGAUCGUCCGUUUCGCGAUCGUGGUGGUGGUCGUCCUCAGCACGAUGGCUCUCGCUUCCGUGGCUCCAACAAUGCUUCUGGGGUUCUUGGUCCAGCCCCAUAUCACGGUUCCUCCCGUCCUCGCUGCCAUAUUUGCAAUACUUUUGGUCAUGGUGCUCUUGACUGUGCUCAACGUCUUAAUUUGGCUUAUGAAGGUCGUCCUCCUUCUUCCCGUCUCACUGCCUUGACUGCUCAGCACUCCCAGCCUUGGCUCAUUGAUUCCGGGGCAAACUCGCAUAUCACCAAUGAUCUCAAUACUUUGUCUCAGUCCCGUGAUUAUCGUGGUGGUGAUUCCGUCGGUGGUGUCGUUGGCGGUACAGGUUUGCCCAUUAACCGUAUUGGCUCCUCCACUCUCUCUCAUAAUAAUAUUUCUUUCAAGCUUAAUGAUGUUCUUCAUUGUCCGGAUGCUUCUACUUCUGUGUUGUCUGCUAAUCGGUUUAUGUUGGAUAAUAAUUGUUAUAUUACAUUGUUUCCUUCUUGUUUCUAUAUUCAGGAUAUGGAGACGGGGACGAUUCUUUUUUCGGGCAAGAGUAGCAAUGGCUUUUAUCCCUUUUCCUCUUCAUCACCGACUGCUCAUGGUCGUGCUGCUUUUCUUGGUGUUCGUGUUGGUAGUGAUGUCUGGCACUCUCGUUUAGGCCAUCCAUCUUCUUCCAUUUUAAAAUUUCUUUUUUCUAGGCAUUCGAAUAAGUUGCCUGUUUCUGGCAACCUCAAUCUCAAUACUUUUAUGUGUCAUUCUUGUCCUUUAGGCAAAAGUGUUAAGUUACCUUUUUCUGCAUCAUUGUUUGUUACUCAAGCUCCUCUUGAGCUUAUUCACUCCGACGUGUGGAGUGCGUCCAAUAAAUCUGUUAGUGGUUUCCAAUAUUAUGUUCUUUUUGUUGAUAAUUUCUCUCGUUAUUCUUGGAUUUAUCCCAUGAAAUUGAAAUCUGAAGUCUUUAAUAUUUUUACUCACUUUAAGACCUUGGUUGAAAAUCAAUUCUCCACUAAAAUUAAGAUGUUUCAGUCCGAUGGUGGGGGCGAAUACACUAGUCACCAAUUCAAGAAUUUUUUUCUUCACCAUGGUAUUCAUCAUCGUCUCUCAUGCCCUCACCAUCCCGAACAAAAUGGUUUGGCGGAACGCAAACAUCGUCACAUUGUCGACACUGGACUUACUUUAAUGGCCCAUGCGUCGAUGCCUCCUGCCUAUUGGGCUAAGGCCAUGCACACAGCAGUUUAUCUUCUCAAUCGCCUCCCCUCUAAAGUACUUGGUUUUAUGUCUCCUUAUCAAAAGUUGUUUCUUAAGGAACCUGAUUAUAGUUUUUUAAAGACCUUUGGGUGUGCAUGUUUUCCCCACCUACGACCCUAUAAUAAUAAUAAACUCCAGUUUCGUUCUACUAAAUGUGUUUUUCUUGGUUACUCUCUCAAUCAUCAAGGUUCUCGGUGCUUAGACAUCUCUACUAACCGCAUCUUUUUAUCACGCCAUAUUGUGUUUGAUGAAGGUAAUUUUCCUUUCAAGGCCAUCUCUGGCUCUCUUGCCCCAUCCUCCCCGGCCUCGUCUCCUCCUCCUGUUUUAGAAAUCACUGGGCCUCUUCCGCAUGCCCCCCGACCGUCUAGCAGCCAACCGGUGGUUGUGUCCCCCUCUUUGGAGACUCAUCAAUCCAGUCCAUCAUCCGACCCACCACAGCCGGCCCUACAGGUUUACUCCCGUGACCCUCACAGGCGGGUUCUUUCUUUUGCACAAGCAGCAACCCCAUCUGUCACUCCCAGGCCCACGCCUGCUGUUGCCUCUGCAGUUCAACCUGAUGCGCCUCCCGAGGCUCCAUCUGCUGCUGUACCACCUGCCGUGCCCUCUACUUCCCAUGGUAUGCUCACUAGGUCCAAAACGGCUUCUCUUAAGCCUCAUAAAUAUGUUUUUUCUGCUGCCAUUUCUUCUUCUACCGGUCCUAUUGAGCCUACUUGUUUUAGUCAGGCCAACACUUUUCCCGAAUGGCGUACUGCGAUGGCCGAUGAAUUUAAUGCACUUCAACGUGCUGGUACUUGGACUCUUGUUCCUCGUACCGCUUCUAUGAAUAUUUUGCCAAACAAAUGGGUGUUUCGUAUUAAACAGAAUUAUGAUGGGUCUAUUCAGCGGUAUAAGGCUCGUUUGGUAGCCAAUGGUUUUCAUCAGCAACCCGGCCUUGAUUAUGGUGAAACUUUUAGUCCUGUUGUCAAUCACUCUACUAUUCGCUUAAUUUUGGCUCUUUCAGUUCAGUUUCAAUGGCCUGUUCGUCAGUUGGAUGUUCAGAAUGCUUUUCUUCAUGGCUCUUUGUCUGAGGAGGUCUAUAUGCACCAACCUCGUGGCUUUGUUGAUCCACAGUUCCCUCAUCAUGUGUGCCGCCUUCGUCGUUCUUUAUAUGGGCUCAAGCAGGCGCCCCGUGCAUGGUUCCAAUGUUUUUCCACUCAUUUGGAAGAUUUGGGUUUUCGUCCCUCUACUGCGGAUCACUCGCUUUUUACCUAUAUUCAUGGCUCUACUCGCAUUUAUCUCUUAAUUUAUGUUGAUGAUAUUUUGGUCACCGGGAAUAAUCCCUCAUAUUGUCACCCUCAUUAAGAAUUUGGGCAUCCGUUUCUCUAUGAAGGACCUUGGACCGGUUCAUUAUUUCUUAGGCAUGGAGGUGGUCCGCACUCCAUCAGGUCUCUCUCUUUCCUAACAAAAGUAUGCCACUGACCUACUUCACCGCACCAAAAUGCAUGGUGCUAAGCCGGUUCCUACUCCUGCCGUUAGUGGGCGACGGCUCAGUCUUCAGGAUGGUGACCCUCUGCCGGAUCCUAUUGAAUACCGAAGUGUUGUCGGCGCCCUUCAAUACUUGACUCUCACUCGUCCCGACAUCAACUUCGCCGUCAACCAAGUCUGCCAAUUUCUUCACCAGCCGACUUCUACUCAUUGGGCCGCCGUCAAACGCAUUCUUCGUUACCUUGUCGGCACUACUUCUCACGGUCUUACCUACAAGCCUGGUUCCUUUCGUCUUACAGCAUUUUCCGAUGCCGAUUAUGCCGGGAUCCUGAUGAUCGGCGUUCCACCGGGGGCUAUUGCUUGUAUCUGGGUUCCAAUCUUGUCUCAUGGAGUGCCAAGAAACAAAAUGGGGUCUCUCGGUCCAGCACUGAAGCCGAGUAUCGUCAACUUGCAAUCACCGCUGCCACUCUUUCAUGGUUUCGUAUGCUGUUCCGUGACCUCCAGUUUCCUCUACAUUGUCCUACACUGUUUUGUGACAAUAUCAGUGCUAUAUCCCUUGCUUCCAACCCGGUGUUUCAUGCCCGCACUCGGCAUGUUGAGGUGGAUUACCAUUAUGUUCGUGAAAAGGUUGUUCGCAAGGAGAUUGAUGUUCGUUAUCUUUCUACUCAUGAUCAGAUUGCUGACUUCUUCACCAAGGGCCUUUCUCUUCCUCGUUUUCGACUUCUGGUUUCCAAGCUUCCUGUACUUGAUUGUACUGUCAGCUUGCGGGGGCGUAAAGGAUGAUACAUUCCUGAUCUCUUGGGAUUGUUUCCUGUUUCAUCAUGAUUUCCAGAUUUCCCUGUUUUAUUAAAACAUUCCCUUUAUGUAUUCUUUGUAGAUUAAUUAUACUUGUAAAUCAAGUCAUUGUACACUAUUUAAAUCAAUGAUAAUGCACCCUCUAGGGCAUCGAGGGAUUGAGCCAAAAUACCUUCUUUUGAGUUAUCUUUUCCCAAGAAGGCUCUAGAAUUUGUUACGUGGGGGAAGAUGGAGACCAUGACCUCCUGCCACUUUCUGUUAACCCCCUUUUCUGACUCCACGUUUCUUUUUGUUGCAGAAAAUGGGGGAGCACCUGUUUUUUGCACGUUACUUCCCCCCUUAUGUAGGAAAAAAAUUAUAAAUUUUUUAUUUAUUCCUGAAUGUAUUUGUAUGUAAAGCUCAUCCUCAUCUUUUGGGUUGGAUUACAUUUUUGUUUUACCUUGAAGUUUGACUCAAUUUGAAUGGACUUUAUUUUUUCAUAUUUUUUUUGUUCAACAAGCGUAGUUUUCUUUUUCUUUUUCUCUGUGAAAUAUAUAGUAUGAAGAGGGUGGAAAUGGGUCGGGGCUUACAUUUCCUUCACUUUCUGCCAAAAGAUUGUUCCGAACCACACUGAUAGAGCGAAAAUAAACGCGAAACGUGCUAGAUUGUACUUUGGACUUCUCCAGUGGGACAAGUGUUGUUUCCACAGACAUGCCUUAAACUGCACCCAGCUAUUUUGAGCAAAAGGAGUGGGAAGGUUCAAGCCCCUUGAACCCGGCUUUGGUUCGCUCAACCGGCUAACCAACUCGACCGUGUCUCUCUGAAAAAGAAGGAAACAAACAUAUAAAUUUGAUGAUUGAAAUAAAUACAUGAUUAAUCCUAAAAUAAUGGAAAUAUUAGAGAUAUGCCCUUACCUAUACUGAGUAGAGGGUUUAUAAAUUUCAGCAAAAUCUAAACAAAGUUUUGCCUCUACUGAGGCAGAAGUAACUUCUAACAUCCAAGUUGCUGGAUUGUAAUUUUCUUUGAUCUUUGGUACAUCACGAAUAUCCUCAAAAUAUUUGACGAGUUUACUCGAGUGAUGACCGAGAACUCCAGAAUAGAUGAUUUGGCCUCCCCUUUUCAUCAAAAGUAACUGCAAAAAUCAAUGUCUUCCGUUAGUGAUCGAGUGGCUUUUAUGAUUUGGUUUAGUUUUCUUGGACUCCAUGACAAUGCUCGUUAUACUACCUCGUCAAAUGACUGAAAAAUAUCAAUGCUUGGCUUGUGGAUUGUGCAAACAGUUGUCCUUCCUGUGGAAACAACAUUCUUUACUACGCAAAUGGCAAUUGCAGCUGCUCUGGCGUCUAAGCCUGACGUAGGUUCAUCCAUAAAUAUUAUUGAUGGGUUGGAUACAAGCUCCACUGCAAUUGUUAGCCUUUUGCGCUGUUCAGUAGAUAGGCCAGUUUGUCCAGGAAUGCCAACUAAGGAAUCUCUUAUAUCCUCCAGUUCAAUCGUUUGAAUGACUUCCUCCACAAAUUUCUGCAUAGAUUAAGCAAAGGAUACUUUCUUUUAUAUGUUCCAGGAAAUUUGCAUAUUAUUGAUAAAUUGAAAGAAUAUCAUCCUACAGCUUUUAUGUCUGGAUCAGUUUCGUGUGGCAACCUCAACCAAGCUGAGAACAUAAGCGAUUCUUCUACCGUGAUCUGUGGAGAAUGUAUAUCAGUCUGCUCGCAGUAUCCUGAUAUUCUUGCAAAUGUCUUCUGGACCUUGGGGUACCCUCCGAUUCUUAUAUCUCCCACGAUACUACCUCCUGUUUCCCUUCCAGAAAGAACAUCCAUGAGAGUUGUUUUUCCAGCCCCAUGCGGUAGGAAUUCCUGGACUGAAUGCUCCUGUUAUAUCUUUAAGCAACUGAAGCUUUUUCUCCUUGAAAGCAUGCUGUCUCAUUUCCUUUUUUAAGAAGGAAUGAAGUUAAAAUACAACUAAAUAGUUUUCCAAUGAUACUAAUAUGUGAAAAUUGACUAAUGAUUUGAUUAAUUACCGGAGGUGUAUCAACAUAAUACUGCACGUCCUUAAAUGAGAUUGUCAGUGGCUCGAACGGCAGGACCAUUCUCCCUGUUUAACAAAUUGAUUUACUCUCGAAUAAUUCAGUUGUUAAAAAAAUUCCUUGCUCGUUGCUUUGAAUGGAAAAUGUGAAACUGAUAACCCGGAUAAACUGGAUGCAACAAUUCAUCUCACCUAGUGUUAUCUUUUCUCCCAUGGUUUUGAAUAAAUCGGAUAGAGUUGAUUCAUUUUCCAACGGUGCACCAGUUUGGGUUAAUAUUUAACAUUGGGCUUAUAGGAGAGAAAGCCCAAAAGAGUUCAAUAAGAAGAGUUUCGUCCGAAGCCCAGCACCAAGCCCAGACCGUCCAUCUCAAGACCAAUUGGCACUCUCCUAUUAAUGCAAAGGCUAAGUGCUUACAAGAGAAGUGACAACUGAUGAAAAUCAACCUACUCUCAGCCCAAAAGUACUUUUCAGUGGCAAUACAAGUAAAAUAUUGAUGAGUCACUACCAUUCAAUUGCUUUUGGGUAAGAACAAAGCUACAAGCGGUCGGACUAAUUCGUUUAUAAAAGGAGGAAGAGGGCUCAGAGACAAGGACACUCAAUCAAUCAAACAUACAACUUGUCUCUCAUCCAAGCAAAUACCCAGAAAGCUGUGCUUUGUCCAGACUCUGCACCCUUUUAGCCUUAGAUUUCCUUAGAAAGACAUCUUUUUUCUAUGUAAAAGCUCUGCUACAUUUUUCUAAAUGUUGUAGUAUCGAUCCCUCGUGUAUAAACUCGUUUCCAGUCAUCUCCUUUAGUACUCAAUUCUUUUGUAAACUGCAAAGAGAAGAGAUCGCAAGGCGUUUAACCUUGCUUGACAAAGUGAAAUCUUGCCCAACUCUCUUUGUUUUUAUCUUUCAAUUAACAAAUAUGGUGUUAUAAUGUAUUCCGUAGUUUAUAUUCAAGUUAUUUCCAGUCCUUUGAUGACCCAAAGCCCCAUCAGUUCUCAGAUCUGGUUCACUUAGUGGUUUUAUCAAGAAUUGAAAUGAAUUAAACUGAUGACUUGAUCAGAUCUAAGCCUUCACCCCUCAAGCAUACAAAAUAACUAAAAGUCUUUGAUCUCAAGGCAUAGAAAAUAACUUAAUGUAGACUUAAUCCAUCUACAACAAUCCUUUGAUAAACAAGAAGUCAGAAAUAACUUGGGGUGCAAGUAAUCGGCUUAAAACACACUUGUUCUACAUCUGCCAUACAGAGAUGGCAGUGGCACGCCUAAGCACCUAGUUAGUUUUGAAUGCGAGCCUCAAGGCCUAUACCUAAGGCCCCACAAAGGCACCUUUCAGAACUAACUUUGUUUUCCUCUUGCAGUAUUGUGACAAGCAGGAGCCCAACAAUCAACCAAAGUGCCAACUCCUCGGGCAGCUGUGUGCUCGAGCCAGGAACGCCCACCAACCAGAUUUCCUGCCCAAAAAGCACCAGUUUUGCGAGCUCCCCUUCUUCAAAGUUGAGAUAAUCUUUUUUUCGAAACAAUAGCCCGAUACACCUUUGGAGCUGUAUGAGGAAAAGCUUAAGUAAACUGAUGUGGAGCUGUAUGAGGAAAAGCUUAAGUAAACUGAUGAAGUGGAUUGUAAUACUUAAGUUAUCAUCUGUCAAUUAAAAUGAAUCUAAGUAAGUUAAUGCUAAAAUAAAUCCAAGAUCAGACAGCAUUGUGAACCCGAGUAAUGCUCCUACUGAUAUCCAAUAGAAAUAGCCAUCAAAGUUCAAACCAUGCCUGGUUAGAACUUUAUUCCCUAGGGUUGUGUUUCCCUCUGAGACCUAAAGAAAUGAAUUAACACUGUCAAAACACUUAUUCGACUUCGAUGAUCGGGUACUAAAAAAGUUUAUCAUCUUGAGUUGUACCUUUUGCCAGCGAGGAGCGAGGAACUCGUUUAGAGUUGUACCGAUUUCCCCAUAAGUCAUAGGUGAACACCAGAAUAGUCAACGCAACCAAGGAGGUAAAGAGGCUGCAAAACACCCCUUAUUAGUCUAGUUGUAGUUGAAUGUAACUAAAGGAAAAAUACGAUAAAUGGACUUACAUCGUGGCAAGAUGAAGCCUCCGGAUAAAAACAUUAGCACUAGGAUUAAAAUACCGCAAGUUGAUGCAACAACCAUAGUUUGGAAAACUACAGCAAUUAAACGACAUAUGGAUGUCGAUGCUUGAUGGAGAGCAAAUAGCACAAGGAACUGGAAGAAGAACCUAAAAACCAUAGCAUAUUCUUGAGGCAUUAUUAUGAUUAUUGUUCAAGCCUUUCAUGUUCUGUCGUGUGACUAUAAAGUUGAGAUCUUACGUUUUUAUGUCUGGAGCGUACCCAAUCAAAUGGUAAGUUAUUGCUGUCCACAGCAGUGAAUCAAUCACUGAAAAUGGAACCUUCAGGAUAGACUGGAAGAGAAUACGCCCAUGCUGGAUACAGAUUGAAUCCUCUUUGCUUGUAAACCACUGGUAAUCUAGUAACAGUCACAGCUCUGCAAUUCCGUUGGUCAUAAGUCGAAUAAGUGUAUAAAACAAUGAGUUCAUAAAAAAACUUGCAUUUAUCAAAUCCACGGUCCUACGGGUGCUUAUACAGAUUGCCAUUGUAAUAAAUGCAGUGAUGACAAGCUGUGGGAAAAAAAGAGAGAAAAUAUAGUAAGUGAUUUUGAGUUUAACUUCAGAAGUACAACCCCUAAAAGUGAUAUCAUUAGGCAGUAAACCUGAGCUGUUUUGAAUACGUAGAGAAAGGAAUUCCGUUUCAUGAGAAGAAGCUCUCGGGCCAUACAACCUUUGAACAACUCCCAUUUGCUCACAGAGUAAGUACUAAAUGAUAAGGCAUUAUCAUGGCACUGUGAUUUAUUGUAUGGUUUUGAGAGCUCAUCGUCUAAUUUCUUCCCCGAGUAACUUGCUCUGAAAAGUUCAAAAAAUUUGUUUGCAGAAACAUGACCGUAGGGAAUGUUAUCAUGCUUCCAGUAUUGUGCUUGAUCCUUCUUUGAGAUCACCUCUUGAAGGAAAUCUGCAGCACCCUUUCUUGGUGGGCACUUGAAACCAGAGUCUUCGAAAAACUCAACUGCGUGGCUGCGAUGACCGUGGUAAACUAUCUUCCCCUCUGCCAUUAGUAUUACAUCAUAAAAAAUAUCAAUGGUCUCGGGUGCUGGUUGGAGAAGUGAUACCAAUGCAGUUGUAUCUGUGAUAUGCACCAGCUGCUGAAGAUAGGUAACUAUCUGAAAGGUUGUAGAACUGUCUAAUCCCGUUGAUAUCUCAUCCAUAAAAAGAGCUUUUGUAGGACCUACAAUCAUUUCUCCUGAAGAUUAAACAGAAGAGGAAUGUUAUGUUUGAAACAUUUUUCUACAUGGGAAUUAGUAAUUACAUUCAAAUUUCCCUCGGAUUCAAGAUUUCACUACCGGUUGUCAGCCUUUUCUUCUGGCCACCAGAAAUGCCUCUUCUUAAUGCAUCACCAACCAUUGUGUCACUCACUACACAUACCCAGUCCAAGUAUCUAAAGAGAUUCCAAAAUAUCGUAAUUCAUUUUUCCUGUCCGAGUGAGUUAGAAAUGUCACGUUUGAACUACUUAAUGUCAGCAUUGUCCAUGUCCAACACUGGUUGGAGAAAAAUUUACCUUCAAAACAUAAUCGGUUUGGAGAUUUUCCCUUUGUCCUUCAACUGAAAUGGCCUGUGAGUAUUAUGUAAAUCUCUAAAACCUCUAACACAAAAGGGUGGUAAGAUUUACUAAAAGGAAUGUUAUGAGACUUUACAAUUACCUUCAUGUAGGUGUCAAUAUCUGGAUCGGGGACUAUUCCUGCUUCUUUUUCCCUUCUGCUGAGCUCCAUUAUUAUAUAUGCAUAAAAUACGAUCGAAAUUAAACUUCAUACGUCAAUAGAAGUACACGACUAACCCAAUAGUAAAUGCAAUAGGGGAUAAGGAAUAUGCACCAGCUCUACUGCCAACACCCUGGCAGCGGGAGGAAAAGUCAAUUGUUUCCCUCAGUCAUCUCAGGCAGGUGAAGGUCAUGCUGGCUAAUGUAAGCUGAUGUUUUUUGGGGAACAAACUCAUCUAGCUUGUAACCAUUAUAAGUGUUGUAAACUGAAAUAGAAAGGAACGAAGUUACCUAAAAAAAUGUAGAAGCCUUGAGUGGUGAAUGAUUAUUGGGAUGAGUUGCGGACUAAGUCGCUUUCUUUAAGACGUUUCGCGGCUCUACCCAAAGUGUGCAAGCAGUUCACAAACACCACAUCGUCCUAGGAUAAAACAGCCCAAAACCUUCUUCUUCUUCUUCUGAUAAAGUUCUUCCUUGUACAGUAGAAGAACCUUCGAAUUCACAUUCUCUCAAUAUGUUGCUAACCAAAACUAUAUAUUAGAAAAUAUAUCUUCUUUUUUUUCCGCAUACUUUCAAUGAUCCAGGGACUACUAUAUAUACAUUUAGACGAAAGAGAUGUUGAGGGUUUGAGAAAAUUGAAAGCAGGACAAAAUCAAAACGUAAGUCAAAUAAAACGGUUUGAUUAUGUAUCAUGACAUGAUCUUCUUCUCUAUACAAAGAAGGAAUGGCACGUUUCAAACUUAAAAGGAGAUAACUCCUUACCUAAUUGAAAAGUCAAAAUCAAUUGGCAGUUAUGCAUAGAAUAUUGGUAAUAAAACAAAACGUUAUGUAUAUAAUAUUGGUAAUAAAAUAAAACAUAAAUAUAUUUAAAUAUUUAAAUAAAAACAUAUUUACUCAACAAUCCCCCACUUGUUUUUGUUUAAAACUAUACAUCAAGCAAUAUAUCGUAAAGCUAUACAGAAGUAAAUGUGUUUCUCAACUUAAAUCUAUACAUAGUGUUAGUGAUCGAGAUUAUACUAGAGUAACUUAUAGUUUUGAACUCUAUCCCUAACAACACCACACACACAACUUUAUUAAGGUGAAGUUCAAAAAGCCAGCACAUUACAACCAUGUGCUUGUAUCCCAGUAUAGUGAACGCUCUAGAAACUUGCUCAAGAUUUCAUAGGAAGCGGCAUCACUUCCACAUUCACAUAGUUAAGACUAUCAAGGUAUUCCUGUAGCUAGAUAUCUCACUUAACAUAGAGUAUAGACCUUACUAAGAGAAAAAAAAAUCUCAACCUAAAUACGCUUCAGGAUGUCAUGCUUCUUAGGGAUGGACAUGGAAUAAUAUUCCAAACUAAAAUUAGCAAGACUUCACUCUUAUCACUUGUGACUUGUUAUUACCCUUUGAACCUAUUUCUUGGGAUCUCUAGUCUAUAGGUUGGGUUGCUAUCACAAAUAACUCAAUUCUCUAGGGCUUUAGUCCCAUCCCUUUCGAGGUUUUCCAAACCUUUUCUCGUGCUAGUCCUUUUGUCAAAGGAUCAACCAAGUUUUCUUCAUACCGUAUAUGAUCCACUCUCACAGCUCCAUUAGACAGGUAAUCUCUUACAGUGAUGUGCUUACGACGUAUUUGUCGCCCUUUCCCAUUAUAAUAAUGAUUUUGCACUUUAGCUAUUGCCGAUGUGCUAUCACAAUGGAUCAAAACUGCUGGAAUCGGUUUCUCCCAUAAAGAGGUAUCUGACAGUAGGUUUCUCAACCAUCCUGCUUCUUCGCUUGUCGUAGCUAGCGCUAUUAAUUCUGACUCCAUAGUGGACUGAGCCAUGAUAGUAUGUUUCUUAGACUUCCAUGAUACAACCCCACCACCAAGACUAAAAAUACAUCCACUAGUGGCUUUAGAGUCAUCUGAAAGGGUAUUCCAAUCAGCGGCACUGCAACCUUCUAGGACAGCGGGAAACUUCUCAUAGUGUAAUCUAAAAUUCAUUGUCCUUUUAAGGUAUCUCAUAAGCCUAUCUAUGGCAUGCCAAUGCUCCAAACUAGGUCUACUAGUAAACCUGCAUCAAACUCCUACGACAUAAGAUAUAUCAGGCCUAGUGCAAUCAGUAGCAUAACGAAUGCUACCAAUAAUACUCGCAUACUCAGAUUGUUUAACACUGUCACCAAUGUUCUUGAACAAUUUUACACUAGGAUCAUGAGGAGUACAUGCUGGUUUACAAUCAAAAUAAUUAUACUUUCUUAAAAUUGUUUCUAUGUAGUGAGAUUGAUCUAAAGAAAACCCAUGUUCAAACCUAGUUAUUUUCAAACCAAGUAUUACGCUAACUUCACCCAAGUCUUUCAUAUCAAAAUUAGCAGAUAACAAAGAUUUGACAUUAUUCACAACAUGAAUAUUCGAACCAAAAAUAAGCAAAUCAUCCACAUAUAGGCAUAUAUUACUUUCAGACUUAUAAUAGAUGCAUUUGUCACUUUCAUUUAUUUUAAAACCAUUUGAAGUAACCAAACUAUCAAAUUUUGCAUGCCAUUGUGUGGGAGCCUGUUUCAAUCCAUAAAGUGACUUAUUUAACUUGCAAACUUUAUUUUCUUUUCUUGGAAUAAUAAAACCUGUGGUUGACCCAUAUAUAUUUCUUCCUCUAAUUUACCAUUUAAGAAAGCUGUUUAACAUCCAUUUGGUGCACAACAAGAUCAUGAAUAUAAGUUAAGGCAAACAAUACACGAAUAGAUGUUAUUCUAGUCACAGGUGAACAAAUAUAAAAGAAAUCAAUCUUUUCUCUUUGUCUAUAGCCUUUGGCAAUAAGUCGGGCUUUAAAAUUUUCAACUGAUCCAUCAGGUUUUAAAUUUUUUUUAAGAAUCUAUUUGCAACCUAUUGUUUUGCAACCAGGUGGAAGAUCCACCAAGUGCCAAGUUUGAUUUGACUCCAGGGAGUCCAUUUCAUCAUUUAUAACUUCUUGCCAAAAAAUUGCAUCUAAAGAAGUUAAAGCUUCUUGAAUUGUAUUAGGAUCUUCUUGUAAGUUAUAUACAUGGAAAUCAGGGCCAAAAUCUUUAGCUAUUCGAGCUCUUUUACUUUUCCUAGGUUCUAAUGCAGAUUGACUAUGUUUUACAACAUUAGGUUCAUAAAUUUUAGAAGAAUUAGAACCCCCACUAUUUUGAAGAUUAAAAGGAAAUUUAUUCUCAUAAAAAUCAGCAUCAAGUGACUCAAUUAUGACAUGGUUUUUCAAAUCAUAACAUCUAUAUGCUUUGCUAUUACAUGCAUAACCAAUAAAAACACAUUCAUAUGCUCUACUAGCCAAUUUCGAUCUUUUUGGACCAAGUUUACGAACAUAAGCUAAACAACCCCAAGUUUUGAAAUACAAUACAUUUGUUUUCUUAUUUUUCCAAAUUUCAUAAGGAGAGAUAUUCGAUUCUGAGGUAGGAAUUCUAUUUAAUACAUAACAUAUAGUCAACACAAUUUCACCCCACCAAUAAGAAGCAGCUCCAGAACUAAGUAGCAACACUCAAUUCGCAAAGAGUUCGAUUUUUUCUUUCCGCUUUACCAUUCAUUUCAGGAGAAUAAGGAGCAGUAGUUUCAUGAAUAAUUCCAUUAGACUUAAACAAAUUAACAAAUUCAAUGGAUUCAUAUUCUUGUCAUCUAUCACUACGAAAUCUUUUAAUCUUAUGAUUAAACUGAUUUUCAACUUCAGUAAAGAAAGUUUUGAACAUGUCAAUAGCUUUACUUUUAUUUUUCAUAAGAUAGACAAAACAGUAAUUCAAACAAUCAUCAAUAAAGGUAAUAAAAUAACGUUUUCCAUUUCUAGUUAACACUCUAUCAAAUUCGCAUAUAUCAGAAUGAAUUAAGUCAAGUGGUUCAGAUUCUCUAUUGACAGAUUUAUGUGAAGUUCUAGUGAUUUUAGCUUGACUACAAUAUUCACAUUUUUCAAAAUCAGUCAACGAUAAGUUAGGUAAAAAGCCUAAGUUACUCAUGUUCUUAACCAAGAGUUUGUUAACAUGACAAAGUCUAGCAUGCCAAGUAUUAAAAGAAGACAACAUGUAAUCAGAAGUAGACAUUUUAUCAACAUUCAAUUUAAACAUUCCAUUAGUAGCAUAUCCCUUUCCCACAAAAACCCCAUUUCUAGUAAGAGUAUACGUAUUUGCUCCAAACGUUUGAGUGAAUCCAGCCUUGUUGAGAAGUAAGCCUGAGACCAAAUUCUUCCUUAUUGUUGGAGCAUGCAUCACAUCUUUCAGUAUCAUGGGUUUUCCAGAGGUGAACUUUAACUCCACCUCUCCAGUACCAGCAACAUCAGUUGAGUGCGAAUCACCCAACAACACAUUUCUUCCCUCAGCCAUAGAAUAGGUCUUGAAAAGAGAACGAUCGUAGCAAGCAUGGGGAGAAGUGCCAGUGUCCACCCACCACCCACCACCCCUCGGACUAAGUUGAUUUCUGAUAUCAUUGCAAUUAGUUGCUCUUCAACAAGAUUUGUUUGAGAAGCAAAGUUUUCCUUAUAAUGCAUGGCAGAUUGAAUUCAUCUUAAAAUUGUUGUAAACUGAAAUAGAAAGGAACGAAAUUACUCAAAAAAAAUGUAGAAGCCUUGAGUGGUGAAUGAUUCUUGGGAUGAGUCAGGGACUAAGUCACUUUCUUUAAAACAUUUUGCGGCUUUGCCCAAAGUGUGCAAGCAGUUCACAAACACCACGUCGUCCCCAGGAUAUAACAUCCCAAAACCUUCUUCUUCUGAUGAAGUUCUUCCUUGCACAGUGGAAGAACCUUCGAACUCACACUCUCUCUCAAUAUGUUGCUAACCAAAACUAUAUAUCAGAAAAUAUAUCUAUUUUUGUUCCGCAUACUUUCACUACUAAAUAUACAUUUAGACGAAAAAGACGUUGAGAGUUUGAGAAAAUUGAAAGCAGGAAUAAAACGGUCUUAGGUCCGAUUCUCGCCGAAGGCGAAUUUGAACCACUAAACCGUAGCACUAAGUGGCUCCUAACAAUGUCUCUUAACAAGUUUAGAGGUAUUUGUCUUCACUAAUAAAUGAAAAGCGUUUGAAUUUCAUGAAUGACAAGUGCAAUACAAAAUUCAAAUUAUCAUGGUUCUUCCAUUAUAUGAUUUAACCAAAGCAUACCAUCUCUUAGUGUAAAUAUAUCAUUGAACUAUCAUUGAAGUAGUUCCAACAUUCGUAUACCAUCUUAAUUAUCAAUUUACUAUUACAAAAUUUCUAUUAAUUUUUCUUUACAAACUAAAGUGUUAUUAGGCUAAGUUGUUAAAUAUUAGGAGAUGAGUAGGGAUCGACCCACCGCCAAAGUACAUAUAUAGGUAUUACUGUUUUCUGCUACUAUGAUAAAGUGUAAUAUACUUCUAUAUAUUAAAAGAAAAUUCACUGAUACAUUUCCACAUGUAAACAUUCAACAUUGGACAUAUAUAAUAUUUUUCCCUACUUCUUUGGAAAUUUAAUUUUCCAAUGCAAUAGGCAAAUAGGGAAACAAAGACAAUCCCAACUGGGAAAGCAAUGAGAACAAGAGCCACAAGGCCUAAACAAUCAUGGUGGAAACCAUAAUAAUCUUGUAGGAUUAUUUUCUAUUUAAAAAACGUAUGUGAACAUACACAUUAUUUUCUAUUAUAAUAUGUGUAAGUUUAUGAAGGGAAAUAUUCACUAAAAUGAUCAAAAAUCAAAUUCUGAUGCCAAAACAAAAUCAAAUAUUGUCAUACUGAAAAACUAAUCAUUUCAACAAAUGAGAUUCAAAUAUUUGAUUAUUUUGGCCAAUUUUCCUGUAUUGAUACCCUAACCUAAAGUAUAAAUUACUUGCACAUCCAAAUUAUAACACAUGAAUUAACAACACUCCGUCAAUUAGACUUGUGUUACAUGUAUUUACACGGUUAUUGUCAUUCCAAGUGCUCAAAUGCUAAUGGAGUUACACAAAACCAUCAAAUAUUAGAAAAGAUUGGAUUCAAGAUAUACUAAGUAUAAUGUACAGAAUGUUGCAUAUAAAGUACCAGAAAACUUUAGUAGGUGACCAAGAGAACCCUAUUGCAGGAUAUGCAACGGCUACAUACAAAACUUGUAACAUUGUAUAAUGUAUUUUAAUGGCAACAUGCAACAUUUAACACUUUACACUAUAUUUGGAUGAGGAAGUUUAAGAUUGCUAAGGAAAUUUAAAGUAACGGAAAUUGAAAUGAUGGAAUUUUAUUUUAUAGAAUAUGUGAAUUUUCUUGUUUGGUUGAGGAAAAUAAACUUGGAAUUUAGAUAAAAGUCAGAAUUUGUAAAUUGACAUGCACCAGUUUCCUUGUUUGGAUUCAUAAACAUAUAUAGGAAUUUAGAAUUUUCGGGUGAAAAAAAAACUUGGAAUUUGGGACCUCCAAUUCCCAAGUUUAAAUUCCAUGUAAAUAUGUAUCAUUUCCCAAUUUCUAUGAUUGAGUGCUUAAAAAUAACAAAUUCCGUAAUCAAUUCCAUUUAUUUUUAGGUUAACCAAACAAGAGAAUUCACAAAUUCUAGAAAAUAAAAUCCUGUCAAUUCAAUUUCCGUCAUUUUAAAAUUCCUUAGUAAUCUUAAAUUUCUUCAUCCAAACAUAGUGUUAAGAACAAUGGAAUUUGAAAUGAAAUUUGUUAUUUUAAACCCUCAUUCAUGAAAAUUCAGAAAUGACACCAAUUUACAUAGAAUUUAAAAUGGGAAUUAGAUGUCCCAAAUUCCAAGUUUUUUUCUCAUGCAGAAAUUCUAAAUUUCUAUGUUUAUGAAUCCAAACAAGAGAAUUGGUACAUGUUAAUUUUUAAAUUCCAGCUUUUAUCAAAAUUCCAAGUUUAUUUCCCUCAUCCAAACAUAGUGUUAGUUUAAAACUGUGAAGAUUUUGAUUUAUCGAUUACAAACUAAAUAAGUACUUGAAUUCUUAGGCACUUCAACGUAUGAACUUGUGCAAAUGAACAAGGUCGGCCCUGAGAUUUUGAAGGCCCGAGCUAAGCUACCAAAUAGGAGCCCUUUAAUUCUUAGGCACUCCAAUUGGUUGUAGGUUCAUAUACAUUUUAUUUUUAUAGUAAAUACUCAUUAAUUUAUUAUUAUAUCGUACUCUUAUUUAAUUAAUAAUCAACAAUAUGCUAAAGUUUUAAGAAGGUGUUUGGACCCAAAAUUACAUCAUCGGCCCGUGCAAUCAAGGCCGUUGAGUAGGCAUAGCUCUCAAUCGUCGGAUAAAAAAGCAGAGAUAAUUUUGUUAUUAAAGGAUAAUAUUAUGGUUUUUAUCAUAAUUAUCUUUUAAUGAUUUAUCUCGACAUCUUCUUAUGAAAGAGGGAAAAUAUAUCUCCAAGCUGGAAACACGCAGCACAAUUCAAAGCGAUUUGGAUGUUUGGCGUGUGGAUGUGGUUUGGAUCGGUUUUAGUUGACAAAUAUGCAUGCAUGUGAUAAGGGUGAAGUAAAAAUGGUGAUAUGCUUUGAAAAUGAGUCUACAUGUGUUGGUGAUAAGAUGGCAGCAACUGCCUUGCUGACAAUUAACAUUGGGUAUUUUAUGCUAAAUCAUGCAUAUUGGUAUAUGCUUUUGUAUUGUGGGCCAGCAUAUGUUUUUUUUUUAUGGAGCCAAAUUCAUUUAACAAUGGAUAUUUGGAACAAUAAGAAGUUUAAGUAGGCAUAGGCCUUUGAGAGUUUGAGUUUCAGUUGGUUUCUACGAAAUCAUCAAGGCCACGCCAAGCGGGAUCAUGCAUAUUUGAAAGAGAAUAUUCCUAUUAUUUUGCAACUUACGACGGCAAUCUUACGGUUAUAGAGGCAAUGACAACAUAAAGGUGGUAUUUCGAAUUCAACACACAAACUGCCAUGCACAAACUCUUGCUCUACGCGAAACCUCUUAACAACCUUGAGAUUUUUAUUUUCCUUUUUCGCCAACACAUCUUCAGUUUGGAUAAAUAGCACUAUGAAGGCAACCGGUGAACAUCUUCACUUUGGAUAAACAAUACUAUAACCGUAGAACCAUUCGACCAUGAAGCACCUUUAGUUUGGAUAAACAACAUUGCUCCGAGACCGAUUGAUUACCUAUCCAAGUCUCGGUCAAGAAGAAUUUUCAAGUCCUUACUAGUAGAGAUCAUCUCAUCAGCCUUCUCGACGAAGUGAGGUGUUACCAGGUUACUACAUUCGGCACCCUGAGAGCCCAAUUUGAUAUUGAACUUCGUAGAACUAAUAGCCUUGUCUUCAGGUUCUAGAACCUGAAGGUCGAGACGUGUUCAUUUCUCGACCGCAGUCGUGAGAUUCAGAAGUCAAUAGUGCGCCCAAUGCAACAUCAACUCAUUUUACUUACCGGUCAAGCUCGACCGUCGAGUUGGCAUGCCCCACACACAACCGAAGGACAUAGUUAGCUUUUUAAUUACUCGGCUUGUGCGCCACGUAUACUUGAUAGUUUUUAAGAUCAACAGAAGGUAAAGAGCAAUAAAAACUGAUUAACGAAUUUAACAAAUUUAAUAGCGCCAAUUGAUCCUCUUGUAUUCUUCUUGAAAUCAAUUUCACAAUAACGAAUAUUAGAAUCAUGAGAUGAUUGAUAAUAAAUUAUUGAAACAGAGAAGAUAUAGCAAAUAAGAUAAGGUAGCUGGCAUUUGAUAGCGAUUUUGCUUGUAAAACUACACUUUUUGUCCAUCCAGAAGAAACCCAUUCUUCUGUUACAUGGCUUAACCGUGACCACACAAAACAGGAGAGCACGGGAAGGGCACCAGAAGUGGAGGGCAAACAAUCCUUGUCCGUGCUUUGUCCAUCGAGAAUAAGAAAUUGUAGGGACUAGGGGCCCAUUGCUCUUUUGAGAUGCAAGUUAAGGGACCUAACAAAGGGAAGUAAAAAGCAUUGGUAGGACAAAACAAGCCGUUUUAGGAAAACAACUUGGGGGAAGAUUCUCUCAUUUCCUAAUCUCUCUCCCAUUUUCUCUCCUUCUAUUUGAACGGUUACGGUUUAGCUACGUCAAUAUCUUAUAUAUAUAUUUUUAGAGACGAUAAGACAAAAAAUAAUAUGUGGGAGAAGGGAAAAGAAGGGGAUGAGAAUAGGAGGGGAGAUAAUUCUCUUCCAAACAACUUGCCUAUACAAUUCGGAUUCUAAGACGGUGGUAUCCCAAACGAAUCUCAUCCGACUAUGUGUUUAAACAUUGCACAUGACACCACGUGAUUGUUAAAACAUUGUCACCGUAGUGUAUUGUACAUAUACAUGAUUGUUUUGAAGUAACAUCAUCAUUGUGACAUAUUCAUGACGUAUGCUUAUCUCGCCGACUAGAGUUUCAGAUUCCUAACCAGGCGGGCAUAAACGUGCUUACAGCCUAAAAGGCCUUAACCUCAUAGAUCUGAAAACACAUUUCUGUCGGAGAAAUUGUCAAGAAUAAGAUACGAACUAGAGUUUACUCCGGGCAAGAUACCUGAGAUUUUUAGCCGUUAAAGUCAUUGAAUUCUUGACCAAUGAUCUAACAGCUAAGUUCACAUUGUAUAACCGAGGCACACUACAGAACGUAGAAAAAAAUAAUGGGGAUUAAAACGCUUCAUUGGGUAGAGGGAUAAGUGACAAAACAAUGAGAAAAAACACAUCAAUUGUAUUAGAAAUGCAACUUGCCAAUGUGCACAACAACAAAUGAACAUAGUUGCUACUCCACCGCAAAACCACCUCUGUGUCUGUCAAAUCUUAUUAAUCUCUGCGAGCAGAGGUAGCAAAACAACCUUGAAAAAAAACCCCCCACAACUUUCCAUAUGUUUUUUUUGACACCCCCGUUAACCCCUCAUAAUCAUAAACUACUAAUGACACAUUCUUCAAAGAACACGAAAAUAUAAAAAUACUAAUAAAAGAAAACCCAAAUGGCGCAAUGCCUGUAUAGAGAGAGAGAGAGAGAGCGAGAGCAGCAGAGGCUUAAUUCAAUUCAAUGUUUUGAUUCGAAGGGGUGAAGACUGAAGAGCCGCCAUUAAAGCUUUAAGCUUGGGGCUUGUCCCACUUGAGUGGCUUGACAACCUCCCAGGUGAAGUCGGGGUCAUCCCUCCCGAA
rnacentral:lncRNA from 1 species